rnacentral:lncRNA from 1 species
UGCAUGCAAUUAGUGAAAAUCUCCGUCCACCACGGAAAUAUCCGAAAUCAUCUAGAUCACAGAAGUUGCAUUCCAAAGUUUCCAAAUCAUAUAAUCUGGAAACUUCAUCUCCUCUAACUGAGAGAACAACUUCAGGUUUCUGAUGAAGCUUGAGGAACUGUAAUCGUAAGAGUUGGGGUAAAAUACCCGACCGUAAAACACGCACCCCACUUCCAUCAAGAUUAAGAUACCUGAGAUACUUCAGCCUUUUCAUUCCCUUGGGCAAAUCUUCAAGUCCAGUGUAACUGAGAUCCAACUUCUCCAAUGCCUUAAGCUUUGCUAAUGAUGGUACAGAACUCAGCUUUGCACACCAUCCCAGCAACAAUGCAGUGAGUCUCGUCAGAUGACAAAUAGAAUCCGGCAACUUCUCUAUAUCUGUGUCGGAAAGAUCAAGAACCUUGAGUCCGAUGAGAUGCUGGAAAAAAGAAUCCUCCACCAAAUUUAAUUUGUAGUUUCUGCAUAACAAUAAUGUUGAGAGACGGGGGCACAUUGGUGAAAAGCCUGUUGGAAUAUUCUCGAUUCUAUUUUCCAUGAGUGAAACUCUUAACAGAUCCUCUCUCCACAAUUUUACACCGGGUAAUUCUGUUAGCUGUGCACCUGCUUGAACCAUAGCCCCCCCACUUUCGUUCAAUAUUUUCCAAGCCAUAUCCCAAAUCAAAUCAUGCAUCUUGACAUAUCUGUAAUCUUCAUCGUCCCUGGAACCUUCUAAUAAGCUGGCAUCUUCAAGUUCAUCAAGCAUGGUAUGGCCCCUAUCAAAUCGUGCAUCCCUACUCCCCAUUUCUUUGACUAUACCCUCGUCAAUCAAAUACUCUAUCAAGUCCUCUCUCCAGAUGAUCUUGCCUUUUGGAAAUAGUGUGAUAUGUAAGAAGCACUCUUGAAGUGCUGAAUCGUUCAACUGAGCAUAGCUAAAUUUCAAUACUCGAAAUACAUUGGCUUCCAUCUCACCUGGUCCAACUUCUAAUCUUCUCAGUUUUAGCAAUGCAUCUCUCCAACGAUAUUUACCAUCCACUCCCUUCAUGCUUCGAGCCAUUGUCAUGAUUCCAAGGGGCAAACCAGCACACUCCUUCACAAUAGACUCUGCGAUCUCAGGAUAAAGUGUACCACCACGCCCUAAUCUGUCUAUGAACAGAUCCCAAGCCUCACCCUCAAAAAGAGGCUCCACUUUGAUUAUCCUUUGGCAAUCCAUUUUUCGACAUAUCUCCAGUGAUCUCGUUGUGAGAAUCAACUUCCACCCGUCUGUUCUAAGAGGUAUUCCCACUUCAUCAGGAAGAAAAUGACCCCACAAAUUAUCAAGAAUUAAAAAACCUUUUUUUUUCACAUUCAACUCUGUCAACAGCUCCCCAGUUCUCACCAUCGCAUCAUUUUCAUCCAAAGGUUUUAAAUCCAAAACCUCAGCAAUGCGACCCUGCAAUGCAUGAAUGCUAAAAUCUUGUGACAAGUAAUCCAACGAACAGGAUGAAACAUGCCUAGUUUCUCGUGAAGCUGAUUAUAGAUAUGUGUAGCCAAAGCUGUCUUUCCCACCCCCCCCAUCCCAUAAAUGCCAAUGCAUGAGACCUCAUCAUUCAACAACCAGACCAGACAUCAUUCAUGUUUCUUUCCAUAGCUUGGCCCACUAGCUUUGUUGUCGGCAAUACAUAUCUUCCAGUCCUACGUUUCUUAUGUACAGGCCUUUUAGAAGAGGGCCGUCUCUCAACAACAGAUUGCAUCAAUUCCGGACUCAUGGUCAGUCUACCAGUUCUUAACUCAAAAUCCCUCAUUGAUGAGGAUGAGAUGUUAUUCAAGUUCAUUUCAAAUGACUGAUGUGCUUGCUCUGUUCUUUGUCUAGUCUCGGGUUCAUCUGGCAUAAGAACGACAGGAGCUCGAGGUUCCUUGACAAGCUCAGUCUCCCCCCCAAUCAGAAAACCCUUCCGUCCUCGUUCAUCCGAAAGAGGUUGUUCUUCUUGUUCCAUUUCUAAGCCCCGCAAAGCAGUUGAAGCUGCAUUAAUUCCCUCGUUAUUGCUUGAACUUGGCACAGUCUAUCUACAGGCAUUUUAGAACAGCUUCCACUGCUUAACUCAACUUCCCUCGUCAAUGAAGAUGUGAUGUUAUUCAUAUCCGUUUCAAAUGCUUGAACUGCUGGCUCUAUUCCCAAUCCAGUCUCAGGUGCAUCGGGCAUAUGCAUGCUAGGAACCAUGGUCUCCUCAGGAAGCACAAUCUCUUCCCAAGUCAAGCUAUCCAUCCAUGAAAAAUCAUCCAAAAGAGAUUGUCCUUGUUCUUGCAUUUCUAAAUCUUGCGCAGGAUCCGAAUCUGCAGUAACUAUUAUAUUAUUGCUUGAACUUGGCAUGCUCCCACGCAUUCUGUCAGGAAGCAUAUCAAACGCUGCUCGUUGAACAUCUGGAGUUACUUUUUCACAAAUUUUAACACCACCACCUCCAACUCUUGCCAGAUGAUAUUUCAUCCUUGUAGUGGAAGUGCUUCCAGCCAAUGUCCUCUCACAAAAAAUGCACUUCAAUAAACCACCAUCCACUUUCUCAAAAUAACGAAAUGGAUCGCUUCCUCCAGCCAUUUUUUCUUCUGUGUCUCUACAUACAGACAUAACAAAGAACUUUCAGAAUAUUGAAUUAAAAUGGAACUUAAACUAAUUGAAAAAAAGAAGAAGCUAAGUUUAAGAUAAAAAGAAAAAUUGAUUACAUGUGUUUCACUGUCUAAACCAAAGUCAAGUUAAACCACUCCAAAGAUCAUAGUGUUCUUUUACUUUCCCAAUAAUUCUACAACUGGUCAUAUCAGUAAUUUAAUAACCAGUAUGUUUCUUUUUGCUUAGAAGAAUCAAAGUACAUGAGUUGGAAAAGAAAUGGUAUGAAAUUAGAGCUAAAAUUAAUCAAACUUAAUUACCUGAACAGCAGAUGCAGCAAGAUGUUAUCCAAUUAUUUGAUUAAAUCAGAAGAAAGAAGAUGGACGGGGAAGAGUAAGUGUGUUGGAGACGCGUGAUAGAGCUUCGGCUUGUGUGGUUGUGGAUAAAGAUAGAUUCAGACAGUCAGAGAAGCAGAUGACAGUGAAAAAAAGUAAAAUGGAUUUCUGUCGUUCAUGGAUGUCAUAUGGACAUGUUGUUCUUCCAGGAAGCGGAUCCGGCGAGGGGAGCUCUAGUGAAGGCGUGGGGGUAGGCGGUGGCUGAUGAUAGUCUCCUCGUGUGGUGGACAGCACGCCACCUUUGCAAACGAUGAGAAAGAGCACGAUCCACCACAAAACAGCAGAAGAGAAAGCAGUAGGCCGAGAGAAGAAAAGGGAGCAGAGUUGACCGAGAGAGAAGUAGAGCUGACCUAGAGAGCGGUAUCUUCACAAAUGGAGAGGUUUGUGUUUUCUGUAGCUGGUAGAAAAAAGAUAGAGAGGAUGAUAGGCAACUGAGAUGGAGAGUACCUGUUUGUUUGCUGGUUUAAAAGAAAGAAGUUAUUUUCUCGAAAAUAAAUUAUUUAUAUAUAUAUAUAUAUAUAUAUAUAUUCAAGAAAACUUAUUUAGAAAAUAUUUUUCAAUACUAGGUUAUAUCAUAAAAAUAGUAAAAAAUAGUUUAUUUAUUUAUAUUUUAAUUAUUUUUUAAGUUUAUUAAAAAAAUAGAAAAUUACUAAUAAAAAAAUUAAAAAUAAAUCUGAUAAAUAAAAAAUUAAAAAAAUAAUUUCAUUAAUUAUUUUAAAUAAGAUAAAUAUCAAUUAAAUUAAUAAAAAUCAAAUCUAAUAGAUUAAAAAUUUGAAUUAAAAGAUAACAAUUAAAAGAGAAUAAGGACUAAAUUUAAUAUAAAAAUUAAAUUUUAAAUGAUAAAAUUAAAAAAAUCAAAAUAAAAUAUAUAAAAGCUUAAAUAUUAAGGAUUAAAUUUGAUAUAGUUAAUAAAUAAAAAGAUAUUUUUUAAAUUUAGUCAACUUUUUUAUAUAUUAAUAUCAAAAAUAAAAAAUAAAAAACUAAUAAUUUAAUUUAUUUCAAACAAAAAUUAUUUUAAAAAAUACUAUAUAUUUGAAUUCCAUGCAUUUUGUCAUUUUAGGUUUUAUUUCAAUCAUACGUGAACAAUAUUUAUUUACAAAGCAUAUAAUUAAUUUAGUUAUUUUAAUAUAUUUUAUUUUUUUAAUUUAUUGAUAUCAAAAAUAAAUUUUAAAAAAUAAAAAUUUUAAAAAUUAAUUAUUACCUCUGUGUGGAACACCAUUAAUUUUCUCUUCUUUCCGUUGCAUCAUUGGCUUCUACGCCUGCAAAUCUAGGUACCUUUUUUAUAUAUAAAAAAAAUUCGUUACUUUUUGCUAAAAACAACCAAGUUAGUGACAGUUUAUGCAUGCCUUGACAUGUCUUGCAGAGGAAACAGAAGCACCCUACUUUGCAUUCAGCUGGUUAAACGACAACAACAACACGUUCCAAACAGAAGAUGCUUCAACUAAACCGACCUAAGAGAGCUUAGACAAACAUCUCGAUAGACUUUUUUUUUUUUUUUUUUUUUCAGCACCUCGAUUUUGCUUACUGUAGCUCCUGUUGUUGCCCCUUUUUUUUAUUUUAAUAUAGCUGGUUUUUUCAAACUUGGAUGCAAUUUUUAAUUUUUGCUUUUCCCAGGAUCGAAUUUGGUUGCUUGCUAUCUUGCACGCCCUUUCUUUUCCUAUGCUUGUUUUCCUGCAGAUUGGUUGUUUUGUAGCAACGGUAUUUCACCUCUUUUUGUUCGUCUCAACGAAAAGAAAAUAUAUAUUAAAAAAAUAUUUUUUAUAUAUUUUUUUAAAAUUAUUUUUAAUAUUAAUAUAUUAAAAAAUUGCUUGUUAUUAUUAAUUAUGAUGUUUUAUCAUAUCAUUGGGGAGAGGUGAGUUUCCUUUUAGGUGAAUGAGGUGCCUUGUACUACAUAUAGAGAAUGAAUUUGGCGUGCGUUAGUGGGUGGUUUGUGACAUUGUUAAAACUUCAUAUGUUUAGAGGUUGGUAUUGGGUCGAGGCCCAAAAAACAUGGUGGAAAACCCAUUUGGGCUUUGUCUGCAGUCAUUCAAGGUAGCAGGGGAAUCCAAUUAAUGAAUUGUUAUUGACUUAAUCUCUAUGUUCUUCAUGGCGGGAUUUUAGUUCAGAAGCUUUUUGUUAACUCAGAGUUGUCAUGUUCAAUAUAUAAGCUUUUAAAUUGCUCAGGCACUUCAAAUGAAGAUGGAAGUGCGGAGGAAACUUCAUGGAUAGAUUGCAGGUAUGAAGACAUUUACAGCUGAGAAUUGAAGCUCGAGGGGAACUACUUGCAGUCAGUGUUGAAGAAAUCGCAAGAAACACUGCCUAAACACUUCAAAAGACAGGAGGCUCAAGCUUAAGGGAUGCUAGAUGUUAUCUAAUUGAUUUUUAGUAGAGAUUUUCAGGAUUGAUUCGCUUAAUGGAAGAACUUGCUUGCACUGUCCUGCUUAUUAUGGACAUUUUGAUUACCUUCAAGUUACUGUUUCUUGGUAACUAUAUCUUCAUUCUAAAGAUUGAUUUCGCUUUCUCUUCUCUUCUGUUUUUUAUCAGAGUAAUCUUUGCAUAGACAAUGAACUUCGGGUGAGCCAUGCAAGCCCCGCAGGUUACUGAAAAUUGUUGCGCAAGAAAUGAGAAACGCAGAGGAAAGAAAAGAAAAGUGAAUUCUUGAGAGAAGGAAAGUGUGUUCUGCUCUUCUGGAGAAUUAUAUGCAGAAACUUAGUUUAUUCUUCUUUUAUUUCUCUUCUUCUUGUAUUGCCUGUACCAGGGGAUAUGAAUGUAUAUAUAUACGCAUUUGCUAACUCUUAACUAACUUAACUGUUAUAAGUAACUAUUUAACUGUUAUAACUAACUUUGCACUGCUAAUAGCUAAUCUGCAGGCUUGGCACUAACGAUCUGUAGACGUGGAUUUGAUGGCCUUGCUGUCAGCAUAUCUAUAGUUGAUUAAACAACGAGUAUGCAUGCUCCCGCCAGCCUGCAAAAUUUAGCACAAAGCAAUCGUUGAUUAAUUUGUAGCAAAUAACAGAGUCUAAGGCCUAAGCCUACAGCCAAUCUCGAAAUGGAAUGAUUCUUUUUAUUUUAUUUGCAUUUACACCUCAUUUCCUUCGUAUGUUUGCUUUGUUUAUUUUUUAAUCAAAGCUAAUCUAACUUAACUUUACUUGAAGAAUGCAAAAAAAUUAAUUUACACAUCAAAAUUAAUUUUCUUCUUUGUUUAUUUUAUUAAUUUACACAUCAAAAAAAUUAAUUUGAAAUAAAUAAUAAAUAAAAAUUAACUAAAAUUUAAUUUUUUUCAAAAGUAUUUUUAAAAUAUAAAAAUAAACGAGUUUAUAGCGAUACUAAAACCAACAUCUAUGUAGUCAGAAAGUUAAUUAAGUACGAUGAUAUUUAGUUGUUGAAGUACUUUAAAAUAAUCAAUUUUUUGCUUUAAUUAAUAAUAAUUUUUUUAUCUUUAUAAAUAAAUAAAUAAAAUAACUCAUUAGUUACAUUGAUUUUCUUCGCAAUUGAAGUAGGUAGGCUGGAUUGCCUAAAUAUGAUGAAUAAAGGGUUGGAUUUGCAAAAUUAUUUACACAUUUUAAUUUGUUGAUUUGAUACAUCUCAAUCUGUGAAUUGACACUGUAUUAGUAAGUAAGCACUUCGAAGGUGAAUUGACAGAAAAGAAGAGGAAGAAGAAGGUAGUACUAGACCAAUAAGUUUACACAUAAUCCAUGAACCUAUCUCACAACAAUUUCCUUCAUUACUAAUAUGUUACUACUUAAAAGAGUAAAUUUCUGAUCACUCUAUUUCUGAGAUGGCUGCCAACUCUUGGUGAAGACGUCUCGCUGGCAUGCGGCCUGCGCUGGUUCUCUUAGGGACAGUGGAGCUAAAAGGAUCAGGAGGCUUUGUUAAGUUUUCUCCUUCCCCUUCAAGCAUCUGGACAACAGUUUUCAUGGAAGGACGCUCUGCUGGGUUCCACUGAAUGCACCAUAGCCCCACAAUUGCUAGUUUCUUUGCAAUUUUAGCAUCUUCUUCUCCAUCGAUAUGAAACCGCAGGUCUUCUUCUUUUCUAAGAGAUUAUAAAUCCAUUCCGGGAAGUAUAUCUGGUCGCCAUUUUCUGCUGUAUCAUCGACGUUCUUCCUUCCUCCAACCAUUUCCAACACUAACAUCCAAAGCUGUAAACAUCUGAUUUAUAGGAAACACUCCCGAAGUUUCCUCGAGAACACUUCUGGGGCAAUGUAGCCAACAGUCCCCUAGCAGUCGUCAUGGAAAUAGCACUUUUAUCCUUGGAACACAGCUUUGCCAUCCAAAACGGCGAUUUGGGAUUAAAUUCGUUGUCAGCAGGAUAUUCUUGGUUUGAUAUCAAAAUGGAGGAUUCUUUGAUCACACCCCUGGUGAAGAUAUUCAAUGCCCUUGGCUAUGCUUAGAGCAACACGAUUCAACCUUUCCCAGCCAAGGAAAUGGUUCCUUGAGUCUGCUGAGUUAUGAACUUCUGUAAUGAACCAUUUGGCAAGUACUCAAAACCAGAGCUCGUCUAAAUCCAUCAGCACAGAAACCGAUCAAAGCGAACAACAUUGACAUGGUGAUCCUUGCCAUUGUUCCACUUCAUUGAUGAAUUCCUCCCCUUUUCCUAUGGAAUUAUUGAGGAGCUUCACAGCUACAGCAAUUUCAUGGUUAGCUUUCCUUUGAACACGGUUCCAUAAGCUCCUUGCCCAAUUCAUCCCGGAAUUGAUUUGAUCCUCUUGAAUCAGCAUAGGAGUACCUAGUGGGAUUCAGUGAUCUGUAAUCAUCCAAAAACAUUUCAACCCUGGCUUGAUAUUCUCUUGUGUUUUAUCGUUGCAAUAGCGCGGUAGAGUGCAGUAAUCACUAUUGCAAAAAGGAAGAAUCCUAAAAUCACACCUGCAUAUAAACAUUCCGAGUCAGGAAACUCUUUUUUUUGGGAAGUAAUGUAUGAACCAAGUGUAAAAUUGAGAUGGAGAUUUGAGCAGACUACAAACCACAAUCAGUAGCUUUCGCCGCACAUCUGUAAGGAUUGAAACUUAUUAGCUUCUCCCUUUAGGCAAUUAGUAAAAUCAUGAAAGCAACAAAAACGGAAAGAGUUUCUUUUUAAUUUGAAAAACCCUUAUUUUUUUUAUAUUUACGUAUUCAAAUGCAAAUUAUUAAUUUGAAAAAAGGAAGAAAGAUAGAAAAGCAUACCUUUAGUGUGCGGAAGAAUGCUGUAGCAUUCAGCUUCAGAAGAUCCACAAGUUGGAUUGGACCAAGACAUAGUAAGAACAUAAUUUUCUUCAAGCAACAUACUAUAUGAAAUUCGAUAAAUGUUGUACAUCUUGGUACAAGAUAACAAAUCAGAGUAACUGAUGGGAAUUCCUGAGUCAACGGCAUAAACUUCAUGCUUAAAAGUACUCAGACAUGGGAAUUUAUCCAUGUACGAAGGAGACCUAUAGGUCUUCAUGCAAAGUCUUGAUGGUCUUGAUUAAACUUCUUCCAUGCCUCCCCGUCAGAUGGAUGCACCAUAACUCCAUCAUCGGACCUAUGAAAAUGAUGCCAUGUCAUAUCUUUGGCAUGAUGUGGAGACAUGAAUAGCCUCUGAAGUCUUGGUGUCAAGGGAAAGUAUCGGAGUUGUUUCUCUGACUUAUUAGAACCUUUACUAGUGGGAUUUCUAGGUUUGUAUCGUAAACUCCACAAAAGUCACAAUUUGUUUUCAUUGCAUCUACCCCAUAGUACAACAUACAAUAAUUAGGACACACAUCAUAAUUUAUCAUAACCAAGUCCAAGUGGCCGCAUAAAUUCUUGGCAUCAUAGAAACUUGAAACCAAAUUUCCAUUAUCAGGCAUGCAACUUUUGUAAAUUCAGUAAAUUUGUUGAAGGCAGUCUGAGUCAAAUUUAGAGUUGACUUCAUAUUAAGCAAUUGUACACAAGCAGAUAAUUUAGAUUGCUUGAUACACCCAUCCCAUAAAGACUCCUCUGCAGCUUUAAGUAAUUUAAAAAUUUACUGCCUCUGGAUUCGGAAGUUCUUCUGCUAUCAUAGAUAGAAACCUUAUCAUUAGAGUAUGUAUCACCAACCCCAUGCAUGCAGAACCAUAUCCUAUAUGAAUUUUCUUCAAAAACAUCAUUCACAACAUGACACCCAACGAUGAAGGUCCAGCAAUUAUUGGUUCUGAAACAUAAGGCUCCAUGUACAGUCCAAUUUUCAUAAUCAGGUAAAAAUCCUCUUGAAACAGGUCUUAUAAACUUCUUCCAUUAAAAAACUUUGAUUUUUGCACCUAACACAAGACAUCUAAUUUUCCUCCAGAUACAUUUUCAUCAAUUGAAAAUGCAAAAUUGAUAAAUCUUCGUACACCCAAUAAAUUCCGGACAAAUAUGACCAUCCCUACGACGGCGAUACAUCCAUGAUCGAUCGUCCAUAUUAAUCUAUUUAACAUAAUUAAAACAAAAAAAUUAGAAUAUUAAUAUAUUUCUUAAUAUAACUUUAUAUAACAAAUAUCAAAAUAACUUCAUUAAUAGCUAGCUAUAAUUUAAAAAUGAAAAACUCUUACAAUACAUCUUUUAUUGCUAAUUGUUUUUACGUUCGUAAUUGAGAUAUCAUAAGAUGUGAUUUAAUUUAACAUUAACUAAAAUAUUACUGAAUUUGAAAAAUCCAAUGUAAGCAUCACAGUAUGUGUUAAGCAUUUUUGCAUCAUGAACAAUAUACAAGGACAAUGUUUAAAAUACCGUAGCUAUAUGACGCUUCCACUUCCCCAAUAUUUUCAGCAGAGACUGUAGCAACACCAAAUUGAGUAAGGGCUCCUGCAAAGAAUGAAGAUGAAGCUCAACAUUACACCUAAAUAUGUAGAAGCAUGGUGACGCAUAGAAACAGUGCCAUAACUUAAAAAUUGUUGAAAUUGCACAAAUGAAAGAAGGCUACUGCAAAGAAAGCUCCCUCCGAGUCAAUGCAAGAACGACGAAGACAGACAAUGUAAGGAAAAGACAAUGCCUUAACUCUAUUGGAUAGACAGUGACAUGCAAGAAGUAAAUAAUUCUCGAUGUCCAGAGACAUUCUCAAGAUUCCCAGUCACAAUAAGUAAAAUAAACUAAUUAAAUCUCCACGGAGCACUAAGUCUUCCGGUUUUGUAACUAGUAAUUUAUACCACUAGUUAGUAAAUAUGCUUAUCGAUGCGAGAUCGCUCUCUCAAUCCUAACAUAUAUGCUGAGACCAUAUUGUGAAAAUGACAAAUUUGACUUUAAACAAUCCGUCACUUUUCUCGUAUAUUAGGCAUCUUGUUCAAAUUGAAGCUAAAUAAUCUUAAUUAAUUAUACUCUUUGACUAGCUAACAACUUUUUGUAAAUCCUCGAUAGGACUGUGCCCUUUAUCCUUUCUUUUCUCCCCUUACAUCCUGACAUCACAUAACAUUCGCAAGCCACCCUUUCAUCAAACCAAUUCUCAAGCUAGAGUGAGCUUAACCCUUUGAAUGUAGGAGUCUUUGUAGAGGGCUCUGCAUCAAGAAUUUCAUUAGAGAAGAUGAUUCACCCACCCUAGAACUCCCCCACUUUGUCAUUGUGUUCCUCUGAGGUCUCUCAUCAGAGCUUGAUUGCAUGUUAAUUACGAUAUCUACAUUAACAUAGCCUAAAUUAACUUAUGUCGAGCUAGCUAGGAACGUUAUGAGGAACCUUAUGGUCCUUUUACAUCUUUUGCAUGCUCUGUUUGCAACAUUUUCUCGUUACCGCAAAGAAAGCAAUAGUUUGCAACACCACAACAUUUUUCAUGCUCUUAUUGCAAUAAUCUCAACCCUCUCUCAGUAUUUUUUUUUUAUACCUUACAUUUAAUAAAUAUUAAUACUACAAUUAAUAAUUAAAAUAUUAGGAUGUGAUAAAGCUAUAUAACAACUAAUUUGCAAAAAAUCAAACAAAAUUAUUAUCUCAUCAUAAAAUUAAUUAAUAAAAAAAAAUACGUUAUCUAAAUACAAAUAAACUCUUAAAUUUAGGUUCUAAUUAUACCUGUUUGGUUGCAACUGAAACGUGGAUUCUUGGUGGAAGCAAACACCAAUCUUUGCCAAGUGGGUUCAGGAAAAGUUAAAGAUUGCAAAUGGGAGCACAACACCGAUUUUGCAAAUGGUUUAAGCACACUACAGGACAAUUAAAGAAAGCAAAAGUGGGGUAAUUGAAAAGGGUUGUUUUGGAGUUACAUGUCUGGACAAUAAUUGAAGAGAAAACAGAGGAGGGAUGGGUUUCGGCAAAAGGAAGAAAGGGACAAAUUGAUUGGGUUAGGGUUUUUUAAGUGGAGAAUGAAAGUUUUUGAUUUUGAGCUGGAGUAAUAAAUUGUCUCCUACGGGUGUUUUUGUUAUAAUAUAUAUAAAGUCAAAUUUUUUUUCUUCUCUUUAUCAGCAAGCAAUGUAAACCGUGCCAUUAUAUCAGCAACGGAUAAUCCGUUGCUGAUUUUUAAUAUAUUAAUUUAUUUUUUAGCAACCGAUUUUCUGUUGCUAAAUCCGUUACUAAUAUUAAAAAAUUAGUAUAUAUACAAUUCGUUGCUAAUCCGUUGCUAAAUUUGCAACUGAAAUAUUUCGUUGCUGAUUGCCGAUGCUACUGACCCCUUUUUUUAGUAGUGCUAUUCUCACUAGAAAGUGAACAAUUGAACAAGGUCCAACCAUAGUACAGCCAAUCGUUCAUAAUUUGGAAGUGAGAAUCCCCUAAACUGAACUUUAAACGUUGCCUUGGAAAGCAACCUUGAGGAUCCCUUGCAUAAAUAAGUCGAUGUCUAUAGUCAAUUCUUUCGAUGAGGAGACUCAAUCCAGUUGGCAGAUUAAGCACUGUGCCGUUGUCCUCUGAGCAGGAUAGAUCAAACCCAGGAUAUCCACAGUGGUCUGGUUGUUUUUCCUUGAUCCGGAAAGGAAAUCGGAUGUCAGGGCCACGGUUUCCACAUGAUCCUGUGCAAUUCAAGCUUGCUCCAUGGUCUGCAAGGAAGACAAUGAAAAAGAAGAACAAACACGGAAACAUUUCUGAUGAAUACUUCAUCAUCUCCACACUCCUCGACUUUAUCUGCAUGUUCUGAUAUAGUUUUGGCCGUUCAGAAAACUCAUGUAGUCCUUAGAUGGGUGAGUCCUUUACACUGUAGUACACGCAUCCUUGCAUCCCUCCCUUCGACAUUAAAAAAUAUAUUCAAAAAGACUGUCUGGUUCAGGUAAUUUUGGUCGGUUUUUAUGAUUAAUUUGCUCAUCCCUAAUGAUAGUAAUAGUCUCUCUAUCUACAUAAUGUGAAUUUUAAUUACAUGGUCGCACCCUUAACGCUUAAUUAACGCUUAUGCCAGAUGGGACGGGUGCGAGAUUCUCAACAAGAAAUAAUUAACGCUUAACGAUUAACGCUUUGACAAGUUCUUUAACCUUUCAAUCAGUUGGGAAGGGAGGAAAAGUCUUGCUUUGACAAGUUCUUUAACCUCUCAAUCAGUUGGGAAGGGAGGAAAGGAAAGUAAACGGCUCUCUGUUGUUGUCUUGCUACAUAGCUUUUUUUUUUCAGAUAUCAGUAUUUAAAUACUGAUUUAAGUUCUUUUUCAAACACGCUAUCAGUAUUUAAGUACUGAUUUAAGUUCCUUUUAAUUUAAGUACUGAUUUAAGUUCCUUUUCAAACACGCUAUCAGUUAUUUAAGUACAGUUGGACUUCCAAACUUGAAUAUUUUUGACAUUAGACUAGAGGUUACAAUUGAAUUGUCACUAUCUUUAUCUUGGAAUAUCUCGUGGAUUUGGUCUUUGAUGAGAUGCUCCAACAAUAAUAUCAAGCUCGCUGGAUUUCGUUGUUUGUGGUAUUGUCACUUCAGCCUUCCCCAUGUUUAGAGGAAUGAACGUCCUUUUGGCUUGCUACAUAGCUUUUCUUUUACAGCUAUUAGUCUUCCAAACUUGCCAUUCUAGCAACUUCACUGCUCAUUGUGCUCCUUCUUCAUGCGGCAAUAUCCAAAACAUAAGCUUCCCUUUCAGACUAAACACUGAUCCUCAAAGCUGCGGAAACUAUAAUUAUACUCUGAUUUGCGAGAACAAUAUUUCUACAGUAUUAUAUUUGUAUUCAGGUAAAUACUACGUGCAGGCAAUCGACUACGGUAACUUCACAAUCCGAGUGGUAGAUGCUGGUGUACAAGAUAAUUGCUGCUCCAUCCCUCGUUAUUCUUUGGCACCUGAUGACUUCCGUUACGGAGAUCGAUACACAUGGUAUACCUACAAGGAGGUGCCGCCGCCGGUAGUGAGUGAAGGUUUCGUGGAUUAUUGGGGGCACCGGUACUUACCUCCACUAUCACAGCCUAUGAUUUUCAUGAGCUUUGAAAAUACGGUGAAUUCUCCUCUUUAUGUGGACACUGUUUAAUAAACUCAAUCCAGAAGUUCCCAGAUGGUCAAGGAAGGCAACCACCAGCUGCCACCGACCAGCCGCCACUGUCCAGCCGCCAGCCACCAGCCGCAGCCGCCAGCCGCCUUCACACCUGCUGCCGCCAGCCGCCUUCACACUUGAAGGUUGAAUUUUCGUAUUUUCAAUUCGUGUAUAAAUAGAGUGCCCAGCUUAUGUUAUAUGUGUGGAGAGAAUUGAGAGGAACACUAGAAAGAGAAUAGAGAGAGAGAGAGGGCGUGUAAUUGUUAAGCUUUUAUUGUGUUAUUGUAAGCUUCGGUUUUGUGUAAUAAAACAAUGUGUUUUAUCCCCUUUGAGUGUUUCAAAGCCACCACCAGUGGUUUCUCCCGCCAACAAUUGGUAUCAGAGCCCCGUUCAUCGAAAAACAGAAGAGUUUUGGGGUAUAUCCGAAUUUUCAAAGUUGUCAAAAACAAGUUUUGAUCAUUCCACAGUGUAGAGCUCAUCAAUACGAACUCACUGCCGCAAAAAUCAGCCUCAUCGGAGUCCGAGGUAGCCCACACGCGCCAUCUGAAUAUUCUGACAGAUCGUCCACGCGCAUCCCACGCGCCCCGAGGUUGAAGACGACUGAGCCACACGCACGCCAUAUUUGAGCCGAGCCGAGCCGUAUACGCCGAGUCCUAGCCGAGCCACAAGCCGAGUCCAGCCGAGCCGUACCUCGCGCCGAGCCGAGCCGCGUUCCAGCCUCAGCCGAGCCGAAGGAAUAUUCCCCAGAAUAUUCCUCGAAUAUUCCCCAGAAUAUUCCCGGUUAAACCCAGCGAACCGCCCGCCGUACAAUUAUGCUCGAUAAUCAACUUCUUUUCACGGUUAAAAGAUUAAAAAAUUAAUUUUUAUUAUUAAUAAUUUUUUACUCUUUAAAUAGAGAAUGGCUUUAGAUUAAUUUUUUAUUUAUUCAUAAUUUGUUUAUUGAUUAAGGAUUAUUGACUUAAUCUCUAUGUGCUUUAUGGCGGGAUUUUAUUGAAGUAAUAGUUCAGAAGCUUUUUGUUAACUCAGAGUUGUCAUCUUCAAUAUAUAAGCUUUUAAAUUGCUCAGGCACUUCGAAUGAAGUUGAAAGUGCGGAGGAAACUUCAUGGAUAGAUUGCAGGUCUGAAGACAUUUACAGCUGAGAAUUGAAGCUCUAGGGGAACUACUUGCAGUCAGUGUUGAAGAAAGCGCAAGAAAGAGUGCCUAAACACUUCAAAAGACAGGAGGCUCAAGCUUAAAGGAUGCUAGAUGUUAUCUAAUUGAUUUUUACUAGAGAUUUUCAGAUUGAUUCACUUAAUGGAAGAACUUGCUUGCACUGUCCUGCUUAUUAUGGCCAUUUUGAUUACCUUCAAGCUACUCUUUCUGCUGCCAUCAAUCCAACCUGUUACUGUUUCUUGGUAACUAUAUCUUCAAUGUAAAGAUUGAUUUCGCUUUCUCUUCUCUUCUGUUUUUUAUCAGAGUAAUCUUUGCAUAGACAAUGAACUUCGGGUGAGCCAUGCAAGCCCCGCAGGUUACUGAAAAUUGUUGCGCAAGAAAUGAGAAACGCAGAGGAAAGAAAAGAAAAGUGAAUUUUUGAGAGAAGGAAGGUGUGUUCUGCUCUUUUGGAGAAUUAUAUGUAGAAACUUAGUUUAUUCUUUUUUUAUUUCUCUUCUUCUUGUAUUGCCUGUACCAGGGGAUACGAAUGUAUAUAUAUACACAUUUGCUAACUCUUAACUAACUCUCUUAACUAACUUAACUGUUAUAACUAACUCUUUAACUGUUAUAACUAACUUUGCACUACUAAUAGCUAAUCUGGAGCCUUGGCACUAAAUUGGCUGAGAGUUUGGACUGCAUAGGAUAAGUCCGGUCUUGUGAGUGUAAGAUAUAAAAGCCUCCCAAUCAGUCUACGAUAAGAUACAGGAUCAUAUAAGGAUGGACUAAUAUCAUGAGUUGUGAGUUUUAGAGUGCAUGCCAUAGAAAAACUGACUGGUUUAGCACCAGAAAAACCACUAUCUGCCAACACAUAUAAAACAUAUUUUCUUUAGCAAAGAACAAUGUUUUUAGCAUAUUUAGCUACCUCAAUGAAAAAAAUACUUCUGCUCUCCCAAAUCUUUUAUAGGAAAGGAUGUUGUGCAAAGGAACUGUUUCACAUUGUUUAUUUCUGCAAGAUUGUUGGAAGCUAUGAUUACAUCAUCAACAUAAGUUAACAUUGCUAUAAAAUUGUUGGGAGUUUGUCUAAUAAAGAGACUAGAAUCUGAUUUUGCAUGUAGGAAACCAAAAUGUAAUAGAGAGGUAGAUAGCUUGGAGAACUAUUGUCUAGAGGCUUGUUUCAGUCCAUAUAUGCUUCUUUUGAGAUUGCAUACCCGAGGAUCAUUUGGAUUUGAGAAACCUGGUGGUAAUUGCAUAUAUACUUCUUCAUUUAAGUCUCCAUGCAAGAAGGCAUUGCCAACAUCAAGUUGAUGUAAAUGCCAGUGUUUGACAGCAACAAUGGUAAGAAGAACUCUGACUAUUGUCAUCUUUGCAAUAAGAGAAUAAGUAUUAAAGAAAUCGAUGCCAACUUGUUGAGUGUAGCCCUUAGCUACCAAUCUUACCUUAUAUCUUUCAACCUUGUCAUCAGCCUAGAAUUUCACUUUGUAUACCCACUUACAAUCAAUAACAGAUUUGUUUUGAGGCAAAAUUACCAGAUCCCAAGUUUGGAUUUUCUCAAGAGCUUUAAUUUCUUUCGUCAUGGCAUUUUGCCAAUGAGAAAUAGAGCUGGCUUGUUUGUAAGUUGUUGGUUCAAACAUAGAUGAAACAACAAAAGUGAAAGCUUGAUGUUUAAAAGACAAUUUUGAAUCAGAUAAGAAGAAGAAUAUAGAGUAUGGCUUACCAAAAAAAGAGCAGUCCGAAGAUAUUAGAUUUGCCGAAGGAAUCUGAGCCAUAUUUCCACAAUAAUAUUGCUUUAAGUAAUUAGGUGGAUGCUUAGUCCUUUCAGAUCUUAUGAGGUUAGGAACAUCAUUGUUGUUAAAGGAAGAAGUUACAGGAACAUAAUUUUUUAAAGGUAGUGUUGUAGGAAUAACAUAAUUUUGAGGAGCUAUUUGGCUGGGAUACAGGGGAAUGAAUCAAAGGUUUGAGGAAAGUCAAGAAACACAAAAUGAUUGGAAAAUAUAAAAAACAUAUCAAUUCUAAGUAAAAAAAAAAAAAUUAAAUUUUUUGAAAGUACUUUUAAAAAAGCACUCCCAAAUAGGUAAUAAUUCAUUGGUGCUCGAGCCAGACAACAAAGCAUCUCUUUCGUUUGAUAUUUUAUACUGAAAGAGCCGGUCAAUUAUUUUUAUAUUUCCUUAGUUUCUUUCAUAGCAAAGCGCCCUCAGGUCAAUGAUUAAGAAUAUUUGUAGGGUUCUUGAUUAUUUCUUCUUGUCGAGAAGCUUGUGCCUUGUAGCAAUCUAUCACGGGGUGCUUGUCAAGAAAGAUUUACAUAUUAUAAGGUUGAAGUGGUCAAGGGAAGAGAUGACAGGAGGAGGAUAAAGCACAUGAUCUCUCUAGGAAUUCUAUGUACACUGCUCGAUAAUCAACUUCUUUUCACGGUUAAAAGAUUAAAAAAUUAAUUUUUAUUAUUAAUUAUUUUUUACUCUUUAAAUCAAGAAUGGCUUUAGAUUAAUUUUUUAUUUAUUCAUAAUUUGUUUAAAUUAUAUUAAACGAAAAAAUAAUUUAACCUUUCAAUCAGUUGGGAAGGGAUGAAAGGAAAGUAAACGGCUCUAUGUCCUGUUGUCUUGCUAAUGUUUCAAUCAAUGACUUAAGGGCCUGUCAGAAGGAAACGAAAAUAAUGGGGCUUUGACAAGUUCUUUAACCUUUCAAUCAGUUGGGAAGGGAUGAAAGGAAAGUAAACGGCUCUACAUAGCUUUUCUUUUUCAGCUAUCAGUAUUUAAGUACUGAUUUAAGUUCUUUUUCAAACACGCUAUCAGUAUUUAAGUAUAGUUGGACUUCCAAACUUGAAUAUUUUUGUCCUUAUCUUUACCCUACAACGGAAGGAAGGAAGCUCGUGGAUUUGGUCUUUGAUGAGAUGUUCCUACAAAAACAUCAAGCUCGCUGGAUUUCGUUGUUUGUGGUAUUGUCACUUCAGCCUUCCCCAUGUUUAGAGGAAUGAACGUCCUUUUUGCUUGCUACAUAGCUUUUCUUUUACAGCUAUUAGUCUUCCAAACUUGCCAUUCUAGCACCAUCACUGCUCAUUGUGCUCCUUCUUCAUGCGGCAAUAUCCACAUUAGCUUCCCUUUCAGACUAAACACUGAUCCUCAAAGCUGCGGAAACAAUAACUAUGCUCUGACUUGCGAGAACAAUAUUUCUACAGUAUUAUAUUUGUAUUCAGGUAAAUACUACGUGCAGGCAAUCGACUACGGUAACUUCACAAUCCGCGUGGUAGAUGCUGGUGUACAAGAUAAUUGCUGCUCCAUCCCUCGUUAUUCUUUGGCACCUGAUGACUUCAGUGACGGAGAUCCAUACACAUGGUAUAACUACAAGCAGGUGCCGCCGCCGGAAGUGAGUGAAGGUUUCGUGUACUACUGGGGGCCCCGGUACUUACCUCCACUAUCACAGCCUAUGAUUUUCAUGAGCUGUGAAAAUACGGUGAAUUCUCCUCUUUAUGUGGACACGGCUCCCUACGGCCUUAACUAUGGAUCAGGAAAUUAUUCCAACUCUUCUCUUGUGACUCAUUCGAAUUAUGUGACUCUUGGGGGCAUGAAUGCCUCGGAUUUGAUGGAACUGUGCAGCAUAGAGAAAAUAUUUUUGCUUCCAAAGAAGAACUACACAGACAAUUACUCCUUUGAAGAAAUACACAGUGACCUGGCAUAUGGGUUUGAGCUUUCAUGGUACAACAUAAACUGUGAAAAUUGCAGAAGAGGUUGCUACCUCGACAGUGCAGACCGUAGUCGAUGCAUUGGUAUGUAACACUUGAUGAUUAAGUUGCAUCACUUUGAUUCAUAAGACCGUAUAUAACUUGUGAUUUGAGAUGGUUCUGUUGGGCGGAAUCCGGGGACUGGUGAUGUACUGAUAAUUACUCAACGGAAGGAUAAGCACACUGAGACACAAUAUUUUACGUGGUUCGGCAAAACCGCCUACAUCCACGGGAGAGAGUCAUUUUAUUAUAGAUAGAGAAGGGAUACAAUAAAUACAUGGAGGAGGAGGCAUAUCCACUCAACUCAACUCACUAUUCACGCAGCUGCAAUGGCUGCAGGGCUGCUGCCCAUGGCAGCAGCUCUUUCUCUCCUCUUUCUCUUCACUUCAUUCUCAUGUUCUCUCACACUUUGCUCUCUAAGAUCAUGCCUCUUUUAUAGGCAUCAAUGGUGGCUUCUCUUGCUCCUUUGUCAUUAAUGGUGGCUGCCAAACUCCUCUUUUCUUCAACAAAGGCUGCUGCCAACUUCUUCUCUUCUUCAACAAUGGUGGCUACCAAAGUCAAUGGUUGUAGCCACCAUUAGUUGAACAUGUAAUGGCAACAUACCUAACAAUCACCCCCUUUGCCAUUCAUGUGGGGCAAUUGUCCGCUUGCUUUUUCAGCACAAGCUUGCAUCAUGCAGCUCUUCCAAGCUUACCAUUCCGAGAGCAUCUCCGGCCAAGUUUACAGGUACUCGCCAAACCUUUCAAUCACCAGAGUCACUAAAGCACACCCUUGCUUACACCAAAGGAUCACUUCAACCAGAUGGUCUCACACAUCACAUCUGAAGAGUGUUAACGCUUGUCUCUGGGAACAUUCCCCUUCGAGCGUAUCAACCAUGCUCGGUCCGGAAUGAUUUAUCAAGCCUCACACCAAGGCUUACAACACCCCCUCAAACGGAUAUUCCAAGUGCGACAGUCAUUAUCUGAGUAUCUCAAUAUGAUCACAAGCCCACCACUCUUCCAAGAGUCUACUCAUCCAGGAGUUGCGCCUGCCCUCUGUUCCACCAUAGGAACCACGCCUUACUUCUCCAUGAGUCUCCCGCUCUUAGUCGUAAGAGUCCAGGUAGCUCUCCACCUUUAAUAAUGGGGGCAGCCCAUUAAAGGUUGAUCCAUGUAUGUCUUCAUACUCUGAGUAUUACAAUGCCAUCACCGAGCUCACCACCUUGACAAGAGUCAACUCGUUCCCAGAACCUGCGCAUGCCCUCUGCUCCUUCAUAGCAGUCGCGUCUUAAUGCUCCACAAGUCACACACUUAUUGUCCAAGGCAAAUGUCUUCUAGCUCAUUGAUCUUUAGCAUGGGGGCAAUAUCCAUGAAAGUCAAUCCUGCAUUUGUCUUCAUACUCAUCAUAGCCACUUCAUUGGCUAUCCAUUUGUCCACUCAUAUCCAGCCAUCACAUUGGCUCUGGGGCGUUCUGAACUGGGCUCAUAUCGUGGCCCACACACCUUUUCAUUAGGUGUCUCCGCUCGUCUUCAUGCGGCGGUCUGAAAUCUAGGCUCAUAUCAUGGCCCUCACACCUUCCAUCCGAGCGGUCUCAUCCUCCUUCAUCGGGAUGACUCAAGUGGCUUCAAGAUUCUCUACCACCAUGUGGACUUGGGAGAUAUUACUGCCACUGACUACAUAGAAAGAGAAAAUUGCGGUAUACUCCUCGCAAUCCUCCACCUUGAUUUCUAUGUUUGGAGCUUCUACAUCUUUCAGCUUUACAGCUCCACCUACACCACUCUCUUUGGUGUCUUCGCCUUUCAUAGGCGGUCGCCUUGUAUCACAAGCGUUUGCACCCCCUCAAUUAGGUGCCUUUGCAACAGCUCUCUUUCCAUCCUUGCAUGCAUUGGAAAGGUCUUCGCCUGUUGUCUUCAUCAAGAGCAUAAGAGACUUCCUGUUGUACAAACUUUAACAGUCUCUACUCUGAGCUUCAUUUGGGAACACUUCUUCUCCUUGCACCUGUUGUCUCAUUACAGUACCUCGUUGGAUCCCUCGGGUACUCUUGCACAAUCUUCGUGUGCCCUCGUGCAAUUAAUGUUCUCCAGAUUUCUCCCUAUUCCUUGCUUAUGUUUGACAGCAGCUCAUCCCGUCACAACACCUGUCCAAGUCAAAAUAGGGUGCCAAUCUUUAUCCCCUUGCUGUAUUUCUCUUCCAUUAUCAGGGUCUUCAUCAAUUCUCCCUUCGAGAAAUCACAAUCAUCGAAUCUACCUUCUUUGGAGAAAUCACCACUCCAUCAGAUCCUUGAUCAUGCGGAACCCAACUGUUCCCCUUGUGCCGUCAUCCUGCUAGUCUUCAACUGUUUCAUUACAAACUGCUAUAUAUACGAAAAUAGUACCGUAUGGAUAAUCCUUCCACUAAGCAAGUUCCCAGGAAAGAUUGGAGGGGUCACAACGGUCCCGCUUAAAACCCAAUCUCCUAGACAGAACUUCUUAGGCCAUAUCUAUCCAUCGUACUGUCUCUCCGUAUAUACAACCAUUUGCUAGCUUUGUUGCGGCUUUGCUUUACAAGUGAUCUGGAAUAUACAGGUUUAAUACAUGAUUUCUCAACAUCUAGCGAGACUACCAGUGCUUAGAUUCGUCAAGAUUGGUCUUCGUCAAUUUCCACUCUCCACCUCAAAUCGUCCACAUGACCGGGUGUCCAGAGUGUCCCAAUUUUUCCUUCCAUCAAGGCAUUAUAUUUCCCCAUUAAAUAGUUCAGCACAUGUAAUUGGGUAAACAUGUGCACCUUUUUCUUCUUCAUCUCCAUCGACCACCAUGAUGACCUUCAGAUGCCUCCUGAUCGGGCAAUCUCUCUUUAAUAAUUCACCACCGCCAUUUUUGGUCUCGAAUCUCAACGAUCGGACCGUACCAUUGCAUCCGGAAUGAUCAAAUUAGCUGGAAACAUGUCUUGAAUCGUCCAAAUCGCACUUCAGACGGCUAAGAUUUGAUCAAAACAAUUCUGGCCUUAUCAACGGCUCAGAUUCAAUCUCAGAUCCGGUUUCACGUAGACUCUGCUGCACAGAAUCCUAUCCCUCGGCUCGCGGCUCGGCUCGGCUCCAACUUGGCCCGGCUCAACUUUGGCUCGGCUCGGCUUGGCUCGCGGCUGAUGACAUGGCCAGUGGGUCCCACUAUGCUGACAUGGCUGUUGACUAGUCAAUGGCCUGCUGACUGUGUAUGAUGAUGUCAUCCUUGCAUCAUGCGCAUGUCAUCCUUUGCAUGGCACUAUUCAUGGUGCGUCACUGUUCAUACCUACUGUUUACAUGGGUCGGGUCGACUGGUAUUCGGGUCGGGUCAUCCGGGUGAAGAAGACGCGUGGCACGCGUGGGGCGCGUGGGCAGACACCUUGCCGGAGAGUGAUGGAGAGUGCGGCCAUAUCCGACGUCCGAUUUUGACGCGGUUUUCACCAGUGGCUUCGUCUCUUCCUCCUCUACACAGUGGGAUGGUCAAAACACAAUUUGGACAACUUUCAUUUUUGAGCAAAAAAUCAAACACCACUUAAACCAUAUGCUCUGAUACCAAUUGUUGGGCGGAAUCCGGGGACUGGUGAUGUACUGAUAAUUACUCAACGGAAGGAUAAGCACACUGAGACACAAUAUUUUACGUGGUUCGGCAAAACCGCCUACAUCCACGGGAGAGAGUCAUUUUAUUAUAGAUAGAGAAGGGAUACAAUAAAUACAUGGAGGAGGAGGCAUAUCCACUCAACUCAACUCACUAUUCACGCAGCUGCAAUGGCUGCAGGGCUGCUGCCCAUGGCAGCAGCUCUUUCUCUCCUCUUUCUCUUCACUUCAUUCUCAUGUUCUCUCACACUUUGCUCUCUAAGAUCAUGCCUCUUUUAUAGGCAUCAAUGGUGGCUUCUCUUGCUCCUUUGUCAUUAAUGGUGGCUGCCAAACUCCUCUUUUCUUCAACAAAGGCUGCUGCCAACUUCUUCUCUUCUUCAACAAUGGUGGCUACCAAAGUCAAUGGUUGUAGCCACCAUUAGUUGAACAUGUAAUGGCAACAUACCUAACAGGUUCCAUAUAUUUUCUCUGGCUUACUUUUCAAUUUUUCAUUUUUUUGGGCAUUAGCACAAUAUUGCACUGUCCCCAGAUGUUCAUGUACAAAUUCUGUGCAUCCAUUACCCGUGGAUUCUACUAUAGUGCACUGAUCAUAAGAUUCAUUCAUGUUCAUAUUGUAAAAUAUUCCGACUAUAAUGUGGUUGAAGGUAGUUGGACAGAUUCAUUGGUCUUUUGCAAUUUCAGGAUUGACACAGAAAACGUUUGGUUCAUCUUAACUUGACCAUGGAUACACAUUAAUUAGUUCAAGUCACAUUAUUAAUUGUGUGCUAUUUUCUAUUUUCUUUCGCAUUUACUGUUGCGUAUACCAUUAGAACUCGUUUUUUAACCUAAAUUCUCGACAGAUGAAAGCUACUGGCAAAUUAUACUCUACCUUCUGACAGGUGCGAAUUCUUUUUCUCUAUCUCACCAUGUUUGUGUAUUCUUACGUGUUUCUUUAAACUGUUAGAAAUAUUUGAAGAAGAAGAGUAAAAAUAGGAAUAUGAGAAAUAUGGUCUCAUAGUAAACUCUGCUAAGUCCUACUAGACUUGGACUUAGACUUACAAUAUUUUUAAUAUAUAUUUAUAUUAGUUUAGGAUAAUUCAAGAGAUUUUAAAGAUAAAUACAUAUUUAAGUAGUCACAUGUAUAUAGUUAGGAGACAUCUAGGAGAACUAAAAGACACUUUAAAUGUAGACUUCAAAAUUAAUUCUAACAUAAACGACAUAUUUGUGAAACAAGGAUUGUUGUUUCUUGAAUAGUAAUUGUAAUUUUGUUCACCAUUUUCUGCAGAUCCCUACCUCUAUUUAUCUAUAUCCAUUUUAUUUGGUAAGAGAUUCCUUCAUUUCUUUAGUUUCGCAACAAAUUUCUAGUGGAGACAACAAAUAAGAUCACAAAACUUGAUUGUUUUCUGGAAAUUUCCUACACAGCACUACUUCAUGGGCUAAAAGUUGUUUGUGGGACUCCAUGUGUGAUUAUAUUUUUGAUCUACAAAUGGCGAAGGAGACAUUUAUCAGUAUACGAUACAGUUGAACAAUUCCUACAGAGUCAGAAUAACCUGAAGCCAGUAAGGUAUUCCUACUCAGAUAUCAGGAAGAUUACUAGAGGUUUCAAGAACAAAUUGGGUGGAGGCUUUGGUACAGUUUACAAAGGAAAGCUUCGCAGUGGGCGUUUUGCAGCAGUAAAAUUGUUGGGAAAAUCAAAAGCUAAUGGACAGGAUUUCAUAAAUGAAGUUGCUACUAUAGGAAGGAUUCACCAUACUAACGUGGUGCAGCUAAUUGGUUUUUGCGCUGAAGGAUCAAAGCGAGCUCUUGUAUAUGAUUUCAUGCCUAAUGGAUCUCUUGACAGACACUUGUUUUCUCGAGAAGGAUCAAUCUCUUUAAGCUGGAAAAACUGCAUCAGAUUUCCCUUGGAGUGGCUCGUGGUAUCGACUAUCUUCAUUUAGGCUGUGACAUGCAAAUACUUCAUUUUGAUAUCAAACCUCACAAUAUUCUUCUCAACGAAAAUUUCACUCCAAAAGUUUCUGACUUCGGGCUUGCUAGGUUGUACCCAACGAAUGGCAGCAUCACAUCUCUUACUGCAGCAAGGGGCACCAUAGGAUACAUGGCUCCUGAAUUGUUCUACAAAAACAUUGGACGUGUCUCCUAUAAAGCUGAUGUUUAUAGCUUCGGAAUGCUGCUAUUGGAAAUGGCAGGCAAAAGGAAGAAUGUAAACGCAUUGGCAGAAAAUUCAAGUCAAAUCUACUGGCCAUAUUGGGUUCAUGACCAAGUAUCUGAUGGAAAGGCCAUAGAAAUCGGAGACGAUGCCACGGAGGAAGAACGUAAGAUCAUCAAGAAGAUGAUUAUGGUUGGAUUGUGGUGUAUACAAAUGAAACCCAUGGAUCGGCCUACAAUGAAGAAUGUUGUGGAGAUGCUUGAAGGAGAUUUGGAAAACUUGCAAUUGCCUCCUAAGCCUGUCUUCAAUCUAGAUGUGACGCCACCAAACAUUGAAGGAGAGUCAUCAUCGUUGACAGGUUAUUCUACCGAAUCAACCAGUUUGGUUGAAAUGAAUACUAAGUGAUAUGAUGUGGAAUGCUCUGCUUACAUGCAGGGAAAAUGAUAGAAUAAUGGUGCUUUCGGACUUGGUUGCGAUGAUUUAGUCUGCAAACAUUAUGAUAAUUUGCAAUAUUUCCUUUUAUCUGAUUUGUGUUUAGCUAAUUUAGAGUUCAAGCUGCGGCUUUUUUCUUCUGUGUGGUCUAUAUAAUCAUCAUACAAAGAUGUUCUGUACUGUGUUUAACUAUCAGAUUUGCACUCUGUUUGGCAAUCAUAGCAGUUGGCGAGGAUGGAACAUCCUCCAUGAUAACUGUUAAUUACAUGUUCUACAUAUUAAUUAUCGGAUUUGUCUCCAGCAAGAGUAAUAUUUUGGCUACAAAUUAACAAGAGACUGUCAUAGGGAUUAUAUAAACAAGUUGAUGCAUGAAAAGACGAGUCUCUGUUUAUAGGUAGCCACUACAAGUAGCUUCGGAGACCACAAAUACAAGGCAAGUCUCUCUAGUAAUCCUUCCACUACAAGUAGCUUCGGAGAUAGAAAAUAGCGAUUUAUUUGCUAUCAUAGGGAUGAUUCUGAACAAAGCGGCUUAAUUUCAUUUUCUUCCACCAACAAUGCCUUCGUGUCAAUGUUCAGCCCCAUGAUAAUCGAUCUAGGUCACCAUUUGCACAUUACCAUAUCUUGCAUAAGCCACGAGGAACCAAUCACAACAAAACAGGAUUGAAAACCAUGACCAUAACGGGUGCUGUGAAAUGAAUAUUGAAACAGAUGGGUGAAUUUGAUGCAGAAAUCUUCUCUUUCUCCAAAAAAGGAAAAAACGAAAAGUAGAGAGGAGACAAUGAAGCCUGCUUACCGGUCAUGGCAUUUCACCAGGGAGGCAAGGUCUUCAAAAAUGCUCAACUGUGUUCAACAACCUUUCAGGAUCUGCUUCAAUUUUCCUAAGAGAAUGGGGAACAGUGAACGGGAUCCUCGUUAGCUGCGGGCAAUCACCCACAGUAAUUUCCUCAAGAGAAUUGCAUAGAAGUCUUCCAGAAUAAAUGCUAUUGAAAUUUGGUAAUUUCUUCAAUACCAAAACCCUCAAUGUCUACUAUCCUCUGAUGGGUUCUCCCCUCUUCAUCAGUUCCCACAAUCUCCGAUCACUUGCAAUUGCAGUCUAGACAUUCUUCGACUCCGAUCACUUGCAAUUGCAGUCUAGACAACAACCAAGGAGGGAGUAGCACCUUCAUCCUAUGACAUUUGUGUAUCAUGAUCUCUCUAAGUUUGCAAAAGACACCACAGUAACCUUGCAAGCAAUUAGUGAAAUGUUAACCUAAUUUUUAACUCUUUUACUUUUACUUUUACUUUUAUUUUUAUUUUCAUUAUAUUUUCUAAAAAAUAAAAAUAAUGAUGAAAAAAACUGAAAAAGAAUUGUAAAAAAUAAAAAUAAUAAUAAUAAAAAAUAAAACCAAUGAAGAAUGAAUUUAAAUUUGGAUUAAGGAAACAUAAUUGGAAGUUUGGAGAUUUAAUUAAACUUUGGAUUAGUUUAAUUAACCAAAUCAAAGGUUUAAUUGAAGAAUUGAUAAGUUUGGGUACUUAAUUGAACUUGAGAUUAGUUUAAUUAAUGAAAUCAAGGGCUUAAUUGAAACAAUGCCAAAGUUGAGGGCUGCAUUGGGCUACAAUUGCAAGACAAUAAAAUCAGAGGACCAUGUUGUGAAUUCUCUGCAAUUAAGGAGUCAAGUUACAAUUUACCCAGGAGCUUGAUUACAAAACUGCUGGACUUCAGUGACCACACUGAAGAUGGCCAUUUGCAUCCCAAAAACGGUGCCGUUUCAGGAUGCACUAUUCAUCUUCUUCAUCUUACCAUUAAGGAAAAAAACGGACGCCAGCUGCCCGCGAUCGCCAUUACUCCAGCAUUAGCAACGGUUGGUCCCCUCGUUAUUUGGAGGCGACCGCAUGGCAUUCUCUGGCUUUAUAUAAAAGCCAGAGAAAGGUCACGGGGGGAGGGGGAACAGAGGGAAAUACCAGAAGAAAAAAAAAGCAUACAAAGGGGGGACGAACAGAAAAACAGGGGAGGACGCAUGAGAGAGAGAGACCGAGAGAGGGGGGAAGACGAAAAAAACAGAAGAGAACACAGACCGGAAUACCAGAGGUGAAGGAAAAAAAAAGGAGGAGAAAGGAACCGACAAAGGAGGGGGAGGGGAAGAAAAAAAAACCAGGAAAAACAAGGAGGAUGAACUGAGGACGAACAGAGGAGACACACCAGAGAAAGACAAAGAAAAAGGAAGACUAAAACAGAGAGGAGGAGAGAGCAAAAAGACAGUGUUCCCAGCUUUUCCUUCGUCCCCAGAAUGCAAGCAAAGUGAACAAACGAAAACAGAGAAACUACGAGCAUUGAUCAGCCUGGGCAUUCGUCUCCAGCACCACUCCGAACCAUCAGAAACAAAGGAAGAAACCCAGAAAAAAAUAACAGCAGAUAAAGAAGAACGACCCAAAAUCAGUCAAAAAAAAAACCCACAGAAAGCCGGCAUCAUCAUCAUCUUCUUAGUUCCUUCAUCUCAAGAACCGAGAAACGAACGACCACAAAAAACACCAGAGAAGACAGUGGGCACAGAAGGAAGACAAAGGAAAGCAGAAGGAAAGGACAUAAGCAAACGAGAGUCAUCACCAGCAUUGCAACCAUCUUCGUCGUCUCCAGAAGCAGGUACGCCCAUUCUCUUUUCAUUCUUUGUAUUCUUGGAAGUGUUAUUUGAACACUGUGCGAAGGUAAUGAACUUCACGUGCCUCUUGUUUUGGGCCACACACAUUUUUAUAUUAUAAAAUUCCAAAAAUCCUUGUGCAUGUUUUAAAUUUAUUUGUAGAUCCCUAUAUUUUUCACUAUAUAAUUAAUUUAUGUAUUUUUACUGUAAAAUGUAAAUCCAGUAUAAAAUAUUUUUUUAAAAUAAAAAAAUAUACAUACAUUGAUUUAAAUUUAUUUUUAUCAUUGACAUCAGAGUAAGGAAUAUCAUACGUUUUGUUUUUUGGCUAUAUAAUAUUUACCAACGUCAAAAUUAGAAAUAUUCAUAAUUGAAUAUUCACAUACGCUACAAUCAAAAAUAUUAUAAACAAAUUAUCAUAGCAUAAACCAACAAACUUUUAGCAAUUUAAGACACAAAACCAGUAAUGUAGUUUGUCACGGAUGGAAUGUUUAAGGAUGAUAAUAUCUUUUUCACAUAACCAAUGUCGUACAAUAUAAUCUUUAUUGAUUAGUUAGGAUUUCUAAUAACCAUAAUACUAGAAGUAUGUAACUUCUUAAACAAGACUUUUUUCAUUCCAAGAACAAAAAAUAUGUUCUUUUCAAUUCAAUUUUUUUUUAAGAGUUUGUUCUUUUCAAUUUAAUUUUUUUAAUGCUGCCACGAUGUGAGAUGAGACACGUUAAAAUUGGAAAAUUUCAAACUCUAUUAGAUAAUGGAAGUUACAUUUCAAUGUUUCCAACUUCUCCAAUGCCGUAAGCUUUGCUAAUGAUGGUACAUAACUCAGCUUUGCACACCAUCCCAGCAACAAUACAGUUAGACUUACCAGAUGAGAAAUAGAAUCUGGCAAGCGCUCUAUGUUUGCCUCCGACAGAUCAAGAACCUCGAGUCUUUUGAAUUGCUGGAAAAAAGGCUACUGUGGAGAAACUCAACCAAUUUCAAUUCGUAGUUUCUGCAUAACAAUAAUGUUGACCUAUCCUUGAUUCUAUUUUCCAUGAGAGAAACUCUUGAUAGAUCCUCUCUCCACCAUCUUACAUCAGGUAACUCUGUUAAUUGGGCACCUACUUUAACCAUAGCCCUUGAACUUUCUUUCAUUAUUUUCACAGCCAUAUCCCUAAUCAAACCAUGCAUCUUGACAUAUCUGUACUUUUCAUCAUCCUUGGAACCUUGUAAUAAGCUAGCAUUUUCAAGUUGAUUAAGCAUGGGUUGCCCCUAUCAAAUUGUGCUUGCCUGCUCAAUCAGAUUGUGCUAGCAUUUUCAAGUUGAUUAAACUUUCCAUUUCUUCAACUAUACCAUCAUCAAUCAAAUACUCAAUCAGGUCUUCAUGUCUUUUGGAAACAAUGCACAGUAUAAGCACUCUUUCAUUGCUUUAUUUUUUAACCAAACAUAACUAUAUUUCAAUAUCCGAAACACAUCGGUUUCCAUGUCACAUGUUCCAAUUUCUGAACUUGCCAGUUCCCGCACUUCUCCACUGAGAUACAUCAUCCACUCCCUUCAUGCUUCCAGCCCUUGUCAUGAUUCUGAGAGCCAAACCAGAUUAGUACUUCUUCACAAUAGACUCUGCAAUCUGUUUCGUUGUAGGAGAAAGUGCAAUACCAUUCCCUAAUUUGUCUAUGAACAAAUUCCAAGCUUCACCCUCAGAAAUAGGCUCCACUUUGAUUAUCCUUUCACAAUCCAUUCUAUUACAUAUGCCCAAUGAUCUAGUUGUGAGAAUCAAUUUACGCCCAUUUGUUCUACGAGAUAUUCCCACUUUCUCAGGAUGAAAAUCAUCCCACAAAUCAUCAAGAAUGAUAACAUGGUUUUGUAUCACACUCAUUGUUGUCCAUAGCUUCCCAGCUCUACUCGUCACAUCUUUUUCCUUUCGGAAGACAUAAACCAAAAGCUUCGGCAAUGAGAUCCUGCAAUGCAUGAAUGCUAAAUUCUUGUGACAUAGUAAUCCUGUUGGGAUAUUGCCGCUUAUGUUGCAACAUCUGCAGCCCAUCUUCUAGAAGAAGAUGGAUGUCAUUAUUAAAGAAAAAAGGCUAGUUUGUGAGAGUCAAAAAGAGUUGCUGGUACAACAAUCAAAAGUCAUAAAGUAAGUAAAUGUUAGGUAGUCAUCAUUGUUGACAAAUGAGUAAGAGAAGCUACCAUUAAAGCCUAUAAAUAAAGGCAUCACUUGAAGAGCAAAAGGUGAGAGUUGAGAGAGUGUGAAGAGAAGAGAGGAAAAGAAAAAGAGGAGUGGCUACCAAGGACAGCAGUCCUGCUACCAUGUGCAGCAGUGUCGGAGAGCAAUGGAAGUUUAGUAAGAGUUUGAGUGAAGUGAACCUCCUCCUCCAUGUUUUUUGUAACCAUUUCUCUAUCUCUAAUAAUAUUGGUUCUUUUCCUGUGGAUGUAGGCAGUUUGCCGAACCACGUUAAAUAUUAUGUCAGUAUACUUAGCCUCUAAUGGACAACUAUCAGUAUAUCACUGGUCGGAAUCCCCAACAAAUCCAACAAACAUGAAAAAAAAUGCUUGGUUUCUCUUGAAGCUGAUUAUAGAUAUGUGCAUCUAAAGUUGUCUUUCUCACUCCCCCAUCCCGUACAUGCCAAUGCAUGAGACCUCACCUCACCAUUCAACAACCAAUACCAGACAUCCUUCAUAUUUCUUUCAAUAGCUUGACCCACUAGCUUCGUUGUCGGGAAUACAUAUCUUUUAGUCCUACGUCGCUUAUGUACAGGCCUUUUAGAAUAGCUUACCGUGUAAUUUCUCAAGUCAUGUUCUCUAUAUAAAUUCUUAACAAAACAUCCCUCGUUGAUGAGGAUGAGACGUUAUUCAAGAUCAUUUCAAAUGCCUGGCAUGUUUUCUUUGUUCUCUGUCUAGUCUCGGGUUCAUCUGGCAUAAGUACAACAUGAGCUCUAGGUUCCUCAACAAUCCCAAUCUCCCCCCUGAUCCAGAUAUCCAUCCAUCCUAGGCUCUCAUAAAAAAGAGGAGGUUCUUCUUGUUCCAUUUCUAAACACCGCCCAGGAGUUGAAGCUGCAUUAAUUGCCUCGUUAUUGCUUGAACUUGGCACGCUCUUAUCUACAGGCCUGUUAGAAGUGUUAGAAAUAACACUCUUAUGAAGCUCACAUGAUUGAUGGAAAUUGCAUAAUCUUAUUUGAUAAACGAGUGCUGCUUAAAUACAGCUUCUUACAAACAGAAAUGAGAAAAACUAGCUACUGCAGAUGUUAUUUUACGUGGAUCAAAUCACUAAUAUUAUGGCUUGAGAAGAGGUCCUAUUUGACUGCCAUAAUCCUAGAAAAAUAGCCACAAUCCCAGAAUGAUAGGAAUAGGAUUUUAUUUCUGCAGACUUCUUCAAACUGAACCUUCCUAAUAUAUCCUCCCCUAAACUGAGCAUGUUGUGCAUUUGCUCAGUUUAGAUCCUUCUUCUCUUGUACUCCCAAGAGCAUUCGAAGUUUUACAAAAUCUUCAAGUUUAAGCGGCUUUGUCAGAAUGUCUGCUAGCUGCUCCUUAGUGCCACAGUAGAUGAGCUCUACUUCUCCCUUUUUGAUAAGAUCUCGAAUAAAAUGAAAUCUUACAUUGAUGUGCUUUGUUCUCCCAUGAAAUACUGGAUUCUUGGACAAUUUAAUGGAUGAACUAUUAUCCCAGAACACAGUAACACAUUUACACUGAUCUUCUUCAAUGCUAUUUAGAACUUCCUUCAUCCAUAUACUUUGGCAUGCACAAGUGGUGGCUGCUACAUACUCUGCUUCAGUAGUUGAUAGAGUAACUAUUGGUUGCUUUUUGGAGCUCCACGCCACUGCACCAUCUCCCAACAUGAACACAUACCCAAAAGUGUUUUUCCCCCCAUCCAAGUCACCCGCAAAGUCACUAUCAGUGUAUCCUUUAAGGGUGUUGUCCGAGCUUUUUUUGUAGAAAAUACCAAACUUCAUUGUCCCCUUUAGGUACCUGAGUAUUCUUUUUGCAGCUAGUAGAUGUCCUUCCUUCGGUGCAGCCAUGAACCUGCUUAGAAAACUCACUACAUACAUUAUAUCAGGUCGCGUUGUUGUGAUAUACAUGAGGCUGCCAAUUAAUUGCUUGUAUUCGGUGCUGUCAAUUUCUUCUCCUUUCUCUUGUGAUGAUAGUUUAGUUCCUGGAACCAUAGGGUUAUUGACUGCAUUGCAGCUGCUCAUUCCAAACCUUGCAAGUAUUUCAUUUGCAUAUUUUCCUUGACAUAAGAAAAUUCCAGCCUCUGUUUGAUGUACCUCUAUACCAAAAAAAUACUUCAUCCUCCCUAGAUCAGUCAUAUCAAAUUCUGACUGCAUGGAGGCUUUAAAUUUUUCACAUAACAUCACAUUAUUACCAGUAAAGAUUAAGUCAUCCACAUACAAAAUUACCACCAAAAAACUUCCUCCUUCCUUCUUUAUGAACAAGGUGUGUUCAUAGCUGCAUUUGUUGAAACCUUCAACAGCAAAGUAAUCCUCUAACUGACUGUACCAAGCUCUAGGGGCUUGUUUCAAUCCAUUUAAUGCCUUCUUUAGUAGAUAUGCUUUGUACUCUUCUCCCUUUCGAAUGUAUCAUUCGGGUUGUUCAAUAUAAACAACCUCAUUCAGUUCUCCGUGAAGAAAAGCGCUAUUUACGUCAAGCUGAAAGACUUCCCAACCUCGCAGUGCAGCUAGAGAGAGUAGCAUUCUGAUGGUGUCCCAUCUAGCGACUGGCGAGAACACUUCGUUGUAAUCUAUUCCUUAUCUUUGAUCAUAACCCUUCACAACCAGUCUUGCCUUGUGCUUAUCGACCUCUCCUUUUUCAUUCAAUUUGGUUUUGAAAACCCACUUCACUCCAAUCUUUUUCAUUCCUUUAGGUAGGUCCACUAACUCCCAUGUAUUGUUUUUCUCGAUAGCUUGUAUCUCAGUGUCCAUGGCAUUUUUCCAUUUAAUGUCUUUUACGGCAUCACCGUAACUUACUGGAUCAUCUUCAGUAGCAUAGAGCACUAAGUAUUGCUCUUCCUCUUCUUCCUCUGCAAGAUUUUCACCAGUUACAUAAUCUUGCAGGUGUCUUGGAGGUAUGCUGAUCCUUUUUGUCUGCUCCCUUCGAGUAUCCUGAGAUUGAGCAAGGGUUGUACUUCUUGCCUUCUCUGUUUGUGCUGCAGCCUGCUCAUUUGGUAUGCCAUCUUCUUCUCUGCUUGUUCCAUUGAAUGAUUCUGUGUCAUCCCAAGUUAAUUCCUCUUGUUCAUCAUCUGUCCUCCCCCAAUUCCAUGUCUCCUUUUCAGCAAAGAUCACGUCUCUGCUGGUGAUGAUUUGCUUGCUCUCGGGAUCGUAAAGUCUAUAGGCUUUAGACUCUUCACUGACUCCCAGGAAUACACAUUUAUGGCUUUUAUCUUGUAGCUUGAUCCUCUUCACAUCCGGUAUAUAUGCAUAGGCAACACAUCCAAAAACUCUAAAAUGUGCCACAUUAGGCUUGUUUCCAGUCCAGCACUCUUUUGGAGUUUUAUUUGUAAUUGAUGCAGUAAGACUUCAGUUGAUGAUGUGUACAGACCACUUUGCUGCUUCUGCCCAUAAAUUCCUUGGCAUUUUUCCUUCAACAAGUAAACAUCAAACCAUGUUCAUGAGAGUUCAGUUUUUACGUUCAGCAACUCCAUUUUGCUGAGGAGUGUAUGAUGUGUUGAACUGUCUCUUGAUUCCCUGGGUGCUGCAAAAUUCUUGAAAAACUUGGGAAGUGUAUUCUCCUCCUCGAUCGCUUCUAAGACACCGAAUGCUCAUCCUGUCUCUUUCUUAACUUUGGUUUUAAAGUGUUUGAACUUCUCAAAAGUUUCUCCUUUUUCUGCCAGUAAAUAAAGCCAUGUUUUUCUACUAAAGUCAUCUAUGAAUGUCAGAAUAUACCUCUUGUUGCUCAUGGUAGUUGGAGUGAUUGGUCCACAGAGAUCUGAGUGGAUAAGCUAACUUUUCUGAUGCUCUCCAGUUAGCUUUCUUUGGCAUCUCUUCUCUGUGUUGCUUCCUUUUGUUGCAUACUUCACACACUUUGCUUACUUCUAUGAUUUUAGGCAUCCCUUCCACCAUUUGCUUGAAGUGCAAGCUUCAGAGUCCUUUCUGAUGUAGGUGACCAAAAUCAUCUAUGCAAAGCCCUGUGAGAUCCUCUUGUGUUACUUGCAGACAUGCAUCAUUGUGUUGUUCAGUAAGCAUGACAAACAUUCGGUUUGUAGUCAUAUAUGUGUGUACAAUCAGUCCCUUUGUGGGAUGAAGGAUAUUGCAGGCUCCUCUUUGCAUUAUCACUGUCAGAUCUUUCUCCUACAGCUGCCCAACACUUAACAAAUUGUUUGUUAAGUCUGGCACAUAAUAUACAUCACUUAUGAUUUGUGUUCUUCCUUGAACUCUCAGUUUAAUGUUCCCAAGACCCAUAACCUGCAUCCGAGCAUUGUUUCCCAGCUUCACAGUGUGUGAGAACUCCUCAUUCAAUGUAACAACCACCUUUUGUUACCUGUCAUAUGGUUGGAACAUCCUGAAUUGAUGAACCAAACAUCUUCUCUGUUUGAUCCCCUCAUUUCAACGUGAGCCAUGAGUAAAAGUUCUUCUUCAUCAUCCAGCUCAACAUAAUGUGCGUUUGUUUCCCAGGUAGGGCAUUCAUACUGAAAAUGCCCUGGCCUGUGACAUUUGAAGCAUUUCAUUGUGCCUCUGCCAAACACCUGCCUUCCUCUCCCUCUGUUUGGUCCUCUAAAGCUGAUACCUCCUCUUCCUCUAUUAGUGUUUAUUCUGCCUUCUCCAAUUGAAGUAUGCAACACCUGCUCCUCGUUUUUAUCUUUUUCCAGCCUUUUGAAUUUGGCUUCGUGAACUACAAGAGAACUUUGUAAUUCAUCAACUGUCAUGGAGCUCACAUCCUUGGAUUCUUCUAUCGAGACCACCACAUAAGUAAACCUCUUUAUCAAGGUUCGGAGCAUUUUUUUCGACCACCUUUGUGUCUGGCAUAAUCUCCCCGUUACUCCUCAUUUGGUUAGCAACUGAUGUAACUCUAGCAAAGUACUCUGUAAUUGACUCACUUUGCUUCAUUUGCAGAAUCUCAAAGUCUCUUCUCAGUGUGUUGAGAAGAUAUUUCUUCACCUUUGAAUUCCCUCCAAACUUGCUCUUCAAUGAAUCCCACACAAUCUUUGAUGUGCGCCUGUCUAAGAUCUACUCAAAUGUAACUCUAUCUAUUGCUUGAUAUAGAUAGUGUUUCACUUGAUGAUCUUUCAUCUUGGCAUCAUCAUGUUUUGUCUGCUGCGUAUUAGUAAGCGCAGUUCCAAUGAUUGGCUCCUGAACAUCAAUCUCCACAAGACUCCACAACCCUUUUGCUCUCAGCAAGUUUUCCAUCAAUUCACUCCAAUGAUCAUAAUGUUGACCAUCAAAAUGAGGAAUCUUCGUUAAACUAUUAUCCUCACUCAUUUUCUUUCUUCUUGUUAUCGAGCUGCACUUUUGUUGUGUUUGAAUCUAAAGAGGCUCUGAUACCACUGUUAGAAAUAACACUCUUAUGAAGCUCACAAGAUUGAUGGAAAUUGCAUAAUCUUAUUUGAUAAACGAGUGCUGCUUAAAUACAGCUUCUUACAAACAGAAAUGAGAAAAACUAGCUACUGUAGAUGUUAUUUUACGUGGAUCAAAUCACUAAUAUUAUGGCUUGAGAAGAGGUCCUCUUUGACUGCCAUAAUCCCAGAAAAAUAGCCACAAUCCUAGAAUGAUAGGAAUAGGAUUUUAUUUCUGCAGACUUCUUCAAACUGAACCUUCCUAAUAAGAAGAGCUUCCUCUCUCAGCAACAGACUGCAUCAAUUCCCAAGUCAUGUUCUCUAUACCACUACUUGAAUCAACAUCCCUCAUCAAUGAAGAUGGGAUGUUUUUCAUAUCCAUUUCAAAUGCUUGACCUGCUGGCUCUGUUUCCAAUCCAAUCUCAGGUGCAUCAGGCAUAAGCAUCCUAGGAACCAUGGUCUCCUCAGUAAGCACAAUCUCUCCCCCAAUCAUCCUAUCCAUCCACGCCAAUCCAUCAUCCAAAAGAGGUUGUCCUUUUUUACUGUGGACAGCACGCUAACAUUGCAAACGAUGAGAAAGAGCGUGAUCCACAGAUGGAGAGAAAGAAAUAGGCCAAGAAAAGAGAAAGCAGUAGAGUAGACAUCCUUAAGAGCAGUAUGUUCACAAAUGGAGAGCAGUAUAUAUGUAUAGUUUUCAUUAUCGGUUCUUUUAAUUAUACUCAAAUCCGACUCAAACAAUAAUUGUUUAUAAAACAUUUAAUUCAUUCGGAUUGGUUUUGUAGAGUAGUUAUCAGUUAAGGUGAAACUGUAAUCUGUACCUCCAGAUGUUAGAAAGAUAUGCCAGGCUUUUAGAAAUAAAAGGUUAUGAGCAUUCAUGUAUGGAUUUGAUCUUCUAGUUAGAUGGUCUAACAUAUUUUUUUAUGUUUAAGUAGGACAAGCCUAAACUUAAACCAAGGUUUGAUUAUUUCAGGCUAUGUUAAUAUCUUAAAAAUGAGUUAUCUAGAGAACCAGUCGUUGAAUCAAACUUAAAAUUUUUUCAAGUGAUUAAAAAGAUAAUUUUCCUACAAGAAGCGAUUGUCUUUACACCGAUUGAUCUUCCAAAAUUAGGUUUCAAUCCUGGAUGCUCUUGUGUGGGAAAAUUUUGUUAUUUUUCCUAGGGUGUUUCAGAUUUCUUGCAUUAUUGUAGGUUUUGUUUUAUUUUUCUUAAAAUUUUUGGACUUUGAGUUGUCUCUUAGUAUAGCUAGAUUAAAAAAGCAAUUCUCCUAGGCACUUAGACUUGAUAGUGUGUCAAGUCUAGGAUAGCAUAUGUUUGACACACAUGUUAAACCCAAAAUGUUUGAACUUAACAGUCAGUCAAACUCAAGAUAACAUGAAUGGUAGCAUGGGCCUGACAUGCUUGCAAGACCCAAGGUAGCGUGGGUCUGGCAUGCAUGUUUAGACCUAGCAGUUAGACACAUUCAAGAUAAUGACAAUCCUCCCUUGACAUGUCUAAAGGAAUGACCAACCUCCCUUGGAUCUAACCCCAGAAAAGAACAUGGUCUCUAUAGGCUUAGCUAAAUUUAACGUCUUAAACUCUAAUCUUCCUAUACCUUUUUAGAUGUAUAAAAAUUUUUCAAAGAUACACCACAUUCCUAUCAGAUAAGAUAUAUUUAUCUCUCAUUAAAUAUUAUCAAGAUAAUUACACGACGGGCUCUUUUUUAAUAAAAGAAUAAGAUUUGUAGGUUAUAAAUACAUAUUGAAAGCUUCAUAACAAAGGUUUACAAUUUUCAAUUUUCUACUACAUUUAUAUUUUCAGAGUAUCUUUUUAGAAUAUUCUUGUAUUUUAUUUCUCUCAAAAAAUACUAACUUUAUAAGAUGAUAUUUAAAUCUCCCAAUUAAAAUUAUUUUGUUGCAGGUAUCCAAGAUCUUCUUGGUGAAUUUAAAAUAUUUUAGAAUAUAAAAAAAAUCCAAAUAUUUUAACAUAUUAAUAAACCACUAUCCCUAACAUCAAAUAUCUUUUUAUUUUAUGUUCUUGAAUUUUUAAACUUCAUCAUCUUCAUAUUUCUUUCAAACGCUUGGCCCACUAGCUUUGCUGCUGCCAAUACGUAUCUUCUAGUCCAAGAACACUUGUGUACAGGCCUUUCUAGAAGAGCGUCCUCUCUCAACAAAUGACUGGUGUGCUUGCUCUGUUCUUUGUCUAGUCUCGGGUUCAUUUCUUAGUCCAUUUCUUAAUUUGUGUUUGGUAUGCAUGAAAGAUACUUUUUUAAAUAAUUUUAAUUGAAAAUAAAUCAAACAAUAUUUUUUAAUUUUAUUUUUAAUAUUAGUAAAUCAAAAUAAUUGAUAAAUAAUUAAAUAAUAUCACUGAGAUGCUUUUUUAGAACUAGAAAAAUCUUCUAAAUGAAUAAUAGAAAAGAAAAGAAAAGAGAAGAAAGCUAAGCUUUACAACUGGAAAAAACAUUAUCAGCACUGGAUAAAUAUGAAAUGUUUAAGUUAAGCUGAAAUUCUGAAAUGUUUAUUUCUAUCACCCUCCCGAGCACUCCUUACAUAAAUAGCAUGACGUCAUACCUUUACUAUGAGGUAAAGGUUCCAAUACCAAAAUACAAAACAAUCCCUAGAAAUCAUAAAAUCCUAAUUUCAUCCCCGGAAUAAUAGCGUAUGGCUAGAAAUCAUGGAACAUUGUCAACUGUGUUCAGCAAACUUUCAGGAUCUACUUCAAUUUUCUUAAGAGAAGGGGAAAUAGCGAUCGGGAUCCUCGUUAGCUGCGGGCAAUCACUCACAGUAAUUUCUUCGAGAGAAUCGCAUAGAAGUCUUCCAGAAUAAAUGCUUUUCAAAUUUGGUAAUUUCUUCAAUACCAAAACCCUCAAUUUAUCAAAUCUACGAAAAGGAGAGGAAUCUUCACCACUUCCCAUUAUCUCCUGCAUGUUGUAACAAUCUUCGACUACAAUCACUUCCAAUCGGCCCAACAAGCAUGAUUUUGAAGGUUCAUUAUGUAUCAACCGAGGAGGGAGCAGCACCUUCAUCCCAUGACAUUUAUGUAUCACCAUCUCUCUGAGAUUGAAAAAGACAGCAGAACAACCUAGCUCUGAAGGGUAGAAUCUCAAGCCCUGUCCCUGUACUUCAAAAAGGGUUUCUACAACUUCAGAUUUCUGAUGAAGCUUGAGGAACUGUAAUUUUGAGAGUUUGGGUAAAAUACCCGACCGUAAAACACGCACCCCGCUUCCAUCAAGAUUAAGAUACCUGAGAUCCUUCAGCCUUUCCAUUCCCUCGGGCAAAUCUUCAAGUCCAGUGUAACUGAGAUCCAACUUCUCCAAUGCCUUAAGCUUUGCUAAUGAUGGUACAUAACUCAGCUUUGCACACCAUCCCAGCAACAAUGCAGUGAGUCUCGUCAGAUGAGAAAUAGAAUCCGGCAACUUCUCUAUAUCUGUGUCGGAAAGAUCAAGAACCUUGAGUCCGAUGAGAUGCUGGAAAAAAGAAUCCUCCACCAAAUUCAAUUUGUAGUUUCUGCAUAACAAUAAUGUUGAGAGACGGGGGCACAUUGGUGAAAAGCCUGUUGGAAUAUUCUCGAUUCUAUUUUCCAUGAGUGAAACUCUUAACAGAUCCUCUCUCCACAAUCUUACACCGGGUAAUUCUGUUAGCUGUGCACCUGCUUGAACCAUAGCCCCCCCACUUUCGUUCAAUAUUUUCCAAGCCAUAUCCCAAAUCAAAUCAUGCAUCUUGACAUAUCUGUAAUCUUCAUCGUCCCUGGAACCUUCUAAUAAGCUGGCAUCUUCAAGUUGAUCAAGCAUGGUAUGGCCCCUAUCAAAUCGUGCAUGCCUACUCCCCAUUUCUUUGACUAUACCCUCGUCAAUCAAAUACUCUAUCAAGUCCUCUCUCCAGAUGAUCUUGCCUUUUGGAAAUAGUGUGAUAUGUAAGAAGCACUCUUGAAGUGCUGAAUCGUUCAACUGAGCAUAGCUAAAUUUCAAUACUCGAAAUACAUUGGCUUCCAUCUCACCUGGUCCAACUUCUAAUCUUCUCAGUUUUAGCAAUGCAUCUCUCCAACGAUAUUCACCAUCCACUCCCUUCAUGCUUCGAGCCAUUGUCAUGAUUCCAAGAGGCAAACCAGCACACUCCUUCACAAUAGACUCUGCGAUCUCAGGAUAAAGUGUACCACCACGCCCUAAUCUGUAUAUGAACAGAUCCCAAGCCUCACCCUCAGAAAGAGGCUCCACUUUGAUUAUCCUUUGGCAAUCCAUUUUUCGACAUAUCUCCAGUGAUCUCGUUGUGAGAAUCAACUUCCACCCGUCUGUUCUAAGAGGUAUUCCCACUUCAUCAGGAAGAAAAUGACCCCACAAAUUAUCAAGAAUUAAAAAACCUUUUUUUUUCACAUUCAACUCUGUCAACAGCUCCCCAGUUCUCACCAUCGCAUCAUUUUCAUCCAAAGGUUUUAAAUCCAAAACCUCAGCAAUGCGACCCUGCAAUGCAUGAAUGCUAAAAUCUUGUGACAUAGUAAUCCAACGAACAGGAUGAAACAUGCCUAGUUUCUCGUGAAGCUGAUUAUAGAUAUGUGUAGCCAAAGCUGUCUUUCCCACCCCCCCCAUCCCACAAAUGCCAAUGCAUGAGACCUCAUCAUUCAACAACCAACCAGACAUCAUUCAUGUUUCUUUCCAUAGCUUGGCCCACUAGCUUUGUUGUCGGCAAUACAUAUCUUCCAGUCCUACGUUUCUUAUGUACAGGCCUUUUAGAAGAGGGCCGUCUCUCAACAACAGACUGCAUCAAUUCCGGACUCAUGGUCAGUCUACCAGUUCUUAACUCAAAAUCCCUCAUUGAUGAGGAUGAGAUGUUAUUCAAGUUCAUUUCAAAUGACUGAUGUGCUUGCUCUGUUCUUUGUCUAGUCUCGGGUUCAUCUGGCAUAAGAACGACAGGAGCUCUAGGUUCCUCGACAAGCUCAGUCUCCCCCCCAAUCAGAAAACCCUUCCGUCCUCGUUCAUCCGAAAGAGGUUGUUCUUCUUGUUCCAUUUCUAAGCCCCGCAAAGCAGUUGAAGCUGCAUUAAUUCCCUCGUUAUUGCUUGAACUUGGCACACUCUUAUCUACAGGCAUUUUAGAACAGCUUCCUCUCUCAGUAACAGCCUGCAUCAAUUCCCGACUCUCUAUACCACUGCUUAACUCAACUUCCCUCGUCAAUGAAGAUGUGAUGUUAUUCAUAUCCGUUUCAAAUGCUUGAACUGCUGGCUCUAUUCCCAAUCCAGUCUCAGGUGCAUCGGGCAUAUGCAUGCUAGGAACCAUGGUCUCCUCAGGAAGCACAAUCUCUUCCCAAGUCAAGCUAUCCAUCCAUGAAAAAUCAUCCAAAAGAGAUUGUCCUUGUUGUUGCAUUUCUAAAUCUUGCGCAGGAUCUGAAUCUGCAGUAACUAUUAUAUUAUUGCUUGAACUUGGCAUGCUCCCACGCAUUCUGUCAGGAAGCUUAUCAAACGCUGCUCGUUGAACAUCUGGAGUUACUUUUUCACAAAUUUUAACACCACCCCUCCAACUCUUGCCAGAUGAUAUUUCAUCCUUGUAGUGGAAGUGCUUCCAGCCAAUGUCUUCACAAAAAAUGCACUUCAAUAAACCACCAUCCACUUUCUCAAAAUAACGAAAUGGAUCACUUCCUCCAGCCAUUUUUUCUUCUGUGUCCCUACAUACAGACAUAACAAAGAACUUUCAGAAUAUUGAAUUAAAAUGGAACUUAAACUAAUUGAAAAAAAGAAGAAGCUAAGUUUAAGAUAAAAAAAAAAUUGAUUACAGUGUUUCACUGUCUAAACCAAAGUCAAGUUAAACCACUCCAAAGAUCAUAGUGUUCUUUUUUACUUUCCCAAUAAUUCUACAACUGGUCAUAUCAGUAAUUUAAUAACCAGUAUGUUUCUUUUUGCUUAGAAGAAUCAAACUACAUGAGUUGGAAAAGAAAUGGUAUGAAAUUAGAGCUAAAAUUAAUCAAACUUAAUUACCUGAGCAGCAGAUGCAGCAAGAUGUUAUCCAAUUAUUUGAUUAAAUCAGAAGAAAGAAGAUGGACGGGGAAGAGUAAGUGUGUUGGAGACGCGUGAUAGAGCUUCGGCUUGUUUGGUUGUGGAUAAGGAUAGAUUCAGACAGUCAGAGAAGCAGAUGACAGUGAAAAAAAGUAAAAUGGACUUCUGUCGUUCAUGGAUGUCAUAUGGACAUGUUGUUGGUCUUCCAGGAAGCGGAUCCGGCGAGGGGUGCUCUAGUGAAGGCGUGGGGGUAGGCGGUGGCUGAUGAUAGUCUCCUCGUGUGGUGGACAGCACGCCAACUUUGCAAACGAUGAGAAAGAGCACGAUCCACCACAAAACAGCAGAAGAGAAAGCAGGAAGAAAAGGGAGCAGGGUCGACCGAGAGAGAAGUAGAGCUGACCCAGAGAGCGGUAUCUUCACAAAUGGAGAGGUUUGUGUUUUCUGUAGGUGGUAGAAAAAAGAGACAGAGGAUGAGAGACAACAGAGAGGGAGAGUACCUGUUUGUUUGCUGGUUUUUUUUAAAAAGAGUUAAUUUCCAGAAAUAACAAUGAAGUUACUGAUUGAAACAUUGGUCCACCACCCUCAGGUCAAUGAUGAAGAAUUGCAGGGUUCUUGGUUAUUUCUUCUGGUCUAGAAGUCUUUGCCGUGUAACAAUCUAUCACGGUAUGAAAGAUGCACGUAUUAUAGGGUAGAAAUCAAUGGCAAAGGGAAGAGAUGAAAGAAGAAGGACCUUCAAAAUCCUAAAAAAAAUAUUAUUAAUAUAUUUUUUUUCAUUUUAUUUGUUGUCCAUAUUUUAUUUUUUAAUAAUAUUAUUAAAUUAACCGAGUCAGUUGACAAAAAUAUUAAAUCACAUUGCUUUUAAAAUAUUUUAUAUUUCAGUCUUUUGUGGCAUUAACAAUGAAGUUACUGAUUGAAACAUUGGUCCACCACCCUCAGGUCAAUGACGAAGAAUCGUAGGGUUCUUGGUUAUUUCUUCUGGUCGAGAAGUCUGUGCCGGGUAACAAUCUAUCACGGUAUGAAAGUUGCACGUAUUAUUUAGCCUGUGAUUGCUUAUAUAAUGAUAACUGUGAAGAACUGAGUUCUUUAUUUCACUUUAUUCAUCGGUGUUUCGAAUAAAUAUUAUACAGGAACACAAAGGCCUUUUAUAGACCUUUGCAAAGACUCCUAACAGACUAGGAGAUAAGUCUCGUAAGUGAUAGACUUUGUGUACAACAGACUAACGUAGAGUUCUUAACAGAAUAGGAGAUAAAUGUUACGUAGAGUUCUUAACAGACUAGGAGAUAAAUAUAACAAUCUUCUACACUCCCCCUCAAGUUGGUGCAUAGAUGUUUUGCAUGCCCAACUUGUCUAACACUUGGUGAAAGACUUUACUUGACACAGCCUUAGUAAGAAUGUCUGCCAAUUGAUCUUGAGAUCGAACAUGAGGAACUUCAAUUACCUUGGCUUCCAAUUGUUCUUUAAUAAAAUGUCUGUCAAUCUCCACAUGCUUUGUUCGAUCAUGUUGAACAGGAUUGUGAGCGAUGUCACAUGCGGCCUUGUUAUCACAAUAUAACUUCAUAGGAGAUGUUGUUGAAAUCCUGAGUUCCUGUAGCAAAUUUUUAAUCCACAACAGCUCACAUACACCUUUAGCCAUGCCUCUAUACUCUGCUUCCGCACUAGAUCUAGCGACAACUCCCUGUUUCUUGCUUCGCCAUGUAACCAAGUUUCCACCAACAAACGUCAAGUAUCCUGCAGUUAAACGCCUAUCAUCAAUUGAGCCAGCCCAAUCUGCAUCAGUGUAGCCUUCAAUGUUUAAGGUCUCUCCCUUAGUGAACACGAUUCCUUUGCCUGGAGAGGAUUUCAAAUACUGUAGGAUACGCAUUACUGCCUUCAUAUGUUCUUCACUUGGAGAGUGCAUAAAUUGGCUAACAACACUGAGAGGGUAUGCCAAGUCAGGUCUAGUGUGGGAGAGAUACAUUAACCUUCCUACUAGCCUCUGAUAUUGUUCUUUAUUUACAGGAAUCUGAUUAGAAUAUGUACUCAACUUGACAUUUUCUGCAGCAGGUGUAUCACUUGGUUUGCAGGCUAACAUGCCAACUUCAUUAAGCAAAUCAACUAUGUAUUUUCGUUGUGACAAGAGUAUACCAGUGCUGGAUCUCAAGACCUCGAUUCCUAGGAAGUACUUUAAAGGUCCGAGGUCUUUCAUUUCAAAUUCACGGGAGAGAUAAGUUUGUAGGGCUUCCUUUUCAAUAGCAUCAUUUCCUGUUACAAUCAUGUCAUCAACAUAUAUAAUUAAUAGUGUGAGCUUUCCUUCAUUAUGCUUUAUGAAGAGAGUAUGAUCAGAACUACUCUGUUGAUAACCAAAUGCCUUCAUUGAGCUUGUAAAUCUGCCAAACCAAGCUCUUGGUGAUUGCUUUAAACCAUAUAAUGAUUUGCGCAAUUUACACACUUGUUUGCUCCCUUCAACCUGUAACUUACAUCCUGGAGGUAACUCCAUGUAUACUUCUUCUUGGAGAGUCCCGUGCAGGAACGCAUUCUUUACAUCAAAUUGAUGUAGUGGCCAAUCAAAAUUUACAGCUAAUGAUAAGAGAAUGCGUACAGUAUUUAUUUUGGCCACUGGUGCAAAAGUUUCUGCAUAAUGAAUUCCAUAUGUUUGGCUAUAUCCUUUAGCCACAAGCCGAGCUUUAAACCUCUCAAUCCAUCAGCUUUGUAUUUGACUGAGAGUCCAUCUGCAUCCCACAUGUUUUCUUCCACAGGUAAAUCAACCAUCUCCCAUGUUGUUUCUUUGGAGAGAUUUCAUCUCUUCGUUCAUUGCAUUUUUCCAACUAGGAUCUUUUAUAGCUUCCUGCACAUUAUUAGGAACCUGUACAAUAGAUAAUUGAUUUGCAAAUGAUUCACGUUCCUUUGACAACCUGUGGUAAGAUACAUAAUUGUUUAUUGGAUAUUUAGGGGCAGAAGUUCGGACAGGUUCAUAACUAACUCUAGGAAUUCCUCUUGUGGUACAAUUGGGAAGGAUACAGAGUGGAAGUUCAAGAUUUACCUGAGAUUCAUUUGGUGGUGACGACUCAUGAGGACUAGGAGCAUCAAGUGAAGAUAAUUAAAGUUGUGGUACAUUCAAUUCAACUAUAUUAGGAUGAUCACACAGUGCAAGCUCAUUUGUCGUUGGCUCAGUGGUUGUAUCUGUAUGUUCUGGUCCUACCAGUUCAGGUUGUUCAAGUUCAGUCAAAGUAUGACUUAUGUUCUCACUCUGAUAAGUAAAAGACUUCAAGUCACUACUCUCCCCUCCCUGAUUUGUUGUUGCAGGAAAGUACAUUUGGUGUUCAUGAAACUGUACAUCCAUGGUAACAUACACUUUGUGAGUUGGUGGAUGGAAGCACCUGUACCCUUUCUGAUGGAGACCAUAACCAAUAAAAACACAUCGGAGGGCACAUGGUUGAAGUUUAUGGCGAGCAUGUUUUGGUAUGUGUACAAAGGCAGUGCAACCAAACACUUUUGGGGGCAAGUUCAGUAUGAGUGAUGAGGGUAGGCUUUGAUUUAAUGUUUCAAGAGGUGUUUGGAAGUCUAAGCUGCGAGAUGGAAUACGGUUUAUCACAUAUGAAGCAGUGGCAAGUGAUUCUCCCCAAAAAUGAAGGGGCAUUUUGGCUUCAAUAAUUGUAGCUCGAACCAUUUCCAGAAGAUGUCUAUUUUUUCUUUCUGCAACCCCAUUUUGCUGAGGGGUAUAGGGGCAUGUAGUCUGGUGAAUUAUGCCCUGACCAUGUAAAAAUUUCCUCAUCUCAUGAUUGACAAACUCUCCACCAUUAUCAGUGCGAAGGACUUGAAUUGAAGUUUUAUAUUGAGUAGCAACCAUUGAAUAAAACUGUUUAAAGAGUGAGCAUACAUCCUGCUUUGUUUUCAUCAAACACACCCAGGUCAUGCGACUAUAAUCAUCAAUAAAAGACACAAACCAACGUGCUCCAUUCAGAGUUGGAACUUUUGCAGGACCCCAAACAUCAGAAUGUAUAAGUGUAAAUGGUGCAGAACUUUUAUUCAAACUUGGCAGAAAUGGAACACGGUGGCUCUUUGCCAAUUCACAGGUUUCACAUUUGAGUACUGGUAGAGAUGUGUUUGAAAAUAGCUCAGGAAGCAAAUGUUUUAAAUAUCCAAAUGAAAUAUGUCCAAAUCGCUUGUGCCACAACCAAAUAUUAGCAGUGGAUGUUGAACUGGUAACUGCUAAUGACUGAGCCAAUGCAUUUGAGCUAGAUGACGUGAGAUCAAGGUAAUAUAGCUUUCCUUUUUUAGUACCACAACCAAUCGUCCUCCUUGUCUUGAUGUCCUUGAAAACACAAUGAUCAGGCCAAAAAAUUACAACACAAUGCAAGGAAGUUGUAAUUUGAGAGACAGAUAUCAAAUUAAAAUUAAGGGAAGGAACUAUAAGAACAAUAUCUAAAUUGAGUUUACUUAAAGAAAAUGAACCUUUGCCAAUAACUGUGGCUUCUGUUCCAUUGGCUGUAGACACAACAUAUUUUUCAGAUGGUUUUAAUUUAGAAACAGGGGAGGUAGUGUCAAAGGACAUAUGAUCAGUUGAUCCAGAAUCAAUAAUCCAUGCACAAGAUCCAAUAGGUGCAGGUUUAUCAGAAGACUUACCUGGUGAGUUGGAGGAGGUGUGUAAUGCAGUAGCAUUGGCAUUCGGUAAAGAUACUUCAGCUAUGGCGGUGGAUACUGUUGAUGUAGUUGCAGUUUUGCCUUUAUGUUUUGGAGCCUUGGAAUGAUCCCACCAUUCAGGGUAUCCAAUCAAGUCAUAACAUCGACUUUUAGUGUGUCCGGUGUCUCCACAAUGAGUACAAUAUCUAGAUGAGCCAGACUGUUUAUUUCCAAUAUCAAAACUUCGAGAUGUCGCCACUGAACCAGGGUGAGUUUGUCGGAUAGGUGGUGUGUUUCGGCGAGCUAACAUGGCCAUAGAAUCAGGAGCAGUCAAGUCAUUUGUAAGAAGAAUUCGACGAUUUGCUUCACGACGAACAUAUGCAUAUGUGCGUUCAAGAUCAAGGCUUGGAUCCAUGCGAAGGAUUUCUCCCCGUACUUGUUCAAAUUCAGCAUCAAGACCAUUUAAGAAGAUAUGUAUCCUCAAUUUUUCAACUGAUGCUUUAUACAUAAUGAUAUCUUCAGGGUCCCUCAUCUUAACUUUAUCACGAUAAUCAAGUUCUUGAAAUAUCUCUACCAGCUCACCAUAAUAUGUAGGAAGAGAUCGACUUGAUUGACGAAUGGAGAAGGCACGUUGAUUGAGAUGAAAUAUUUGUGUUUCAUCUGAUCCGUCAUAGAAUGCUUUAGCAAGAGCACUCCAGAUUUCACGAGUAGUACGUAGGCGAAGGUACCUCUUCAUGAUCUCUGAUGACAUGGAUGUGAGUAACCAACCUUUAAUUUUUUGAUUUUCAGCAUACCACUUCGAAUAAGAGGGGUCUGUUGGUUCGGGUUGAGAUGAGUCACCAAUGAUAUAAUUGAGUUUCUCACGAUCAGCAAUAUGCAUCUCAAUUAUUUGGGACCAGGUGUCAUAAUUGGUUUCGGUGAGAAUUAUGCCAGCAUUGAAACCUGAAUUCUCAGAUUGGACAUGUAUAACAGGAGAGGAUGAUACGAGGGUUGAUUCGGUAGCCAUCGUAUUGAGGGAUAGCUUGAUUCAAUAAGUUUGCAGGGAUUUAGAAAACCUGCUCUGAUACCAUGAAGAACUGAGUUCUUUAUUUCACUUUAUUCAUCUGUGUUUCGAAUAUUUAUUAUACAGGAACACAAAGGCCUUUUAUAGACCUUUGCAAAGACUCCUAACAGACUAGGAGAUAAGUCUCGUAAGUGAUAGACUUUGUGUACAACAGACUAACGUAGAGUUCUUAACAGAAUAGGAGAGAAAUGUUACGUAGAGUUCUUAACAGACUAGGAGAUAAAUAUAACAAUCUUCUACAAACUGGAGGUUUAUAUAAUCGUUAAUUUUAAAACCGGUAAAAUUAAUCGAGGUGCACGUAAACUGACCGGACAUCUACAUUAAUAAUAAAAAAAAAACAUGCAAGUAUUAUAAGUCUCAGGUGGUAUAAUUCAAGUUGCCAUUUUGAUAUUAAAAUAACACAUUUCCAGGCCUUAUAUUUAAUAGUUUUAUGCUUAAAAAAAAAAGAGCUUGGCGUAUCACAUCCACCUAAUUAGUAUUAUCUAUAAAAAUCAAGGUUGUCAAUUUCGUUUCGGUAGGUGUUUCGUUUUUUCAAUUGGAAUGAAAUGUUUCAGUUUCGGAGUGUUUACUGUUCAUAUAUAUAUUCAACAAACAUAAUUUUAAUUCAAGAUAAAUUAAUUAUAAAUUAUGCAAUACAAACACAAUGCCAAAUAAAUAUAAUUUCAAAAUUUAAAAUAUUUCUAAAUAGUCAAGAUUAAAUAGAUCUUUAACUUAAAGUAAUUCAACUUAAACGAAAUAUCAAAAUAUUAUGAAAGUAAAAUCUUUUAACAAAAAUAUUUUAAAUAUAAAAUUAAGUCAUUCUUAUCAAGUGGUUAAUAGAAUCUAAAGCAUCCCUUGUUUUGCUCAAAUUCCUACAAAGUAUAAACAUGAAAAAAAACAUGAAUAUAAACCAUAAAUAUUAGUGAUAAAUCUAAUUUUAAAAAAUUAAUAUCAUUGUUAAUGAAAAUAGUAAUAAUAAUUUUCAAUAUUAUUAUUAAUAUCAUUGCUAUUGAAAAUAGUAAUGAAAAAAAGCUUUUUAUAAUCGGAUGGUUUAAUUAAUGAAAUUGAGCAAGGUUCAAUUUGAUUCAAUGGCUUUUCAAGAGUGAAACGGAACAUGUGGAAUGAAACCGGAACGUUUCGGGUGGAAUUUAACCGAAAAAUCCGGAAUGGACCGAGAUUUAAAAUGAGAUGAAAUUUGUUCCGUUUUUUGAAUUGGUAUGAAAUAUUUUAGUCAUUCCAGAUGAAACGAAAUGAAAUUGACAACCUUGAUAAAAAUAUAAUCUGAUCCCAUCCCAUGUCACAUACUCAUUAAAAGCUUGACACGUGUAAGAUACACUCUGAUGCAACCUGUGGUACAACGACAAAGAUAUUUUAUAUUGAUUGAGAGGUUAAGGAGGCAGUCAAUAUUUUAUAUUUCAGUCUUUUGUGGCAUUAAUAAUAAUGAUAGAAACAUUGGUUUGCUUCCUCUUGGGUGUAGGACAAGCACUACGUGGCGUUUGGGCUGCCUAUACUUUAAUAUUUUUAGUAUAAUUAAUAGUGUUGAUCUCAAAAUUAUUAUUAUUAUUUUUAGUAUAAUUAAUAGUAUUAAUCUCUAAAAUAUUAUUACAUUUGGUGUUGUAAAUAAUAUGAUUUUUAUAAUAACUCAAAUUAAUGGCAAAGGGAAGAGAUGAAAGAAGAAGGAUGAAUGCAAACCUAUCCAUCAAAAUCCUUCUAUCCUCCCUGCAAUUCCUUCCAAAUUAUGUGCUACAAUGAUUUUCUUCGCGAUUGAAGUAAGUUAGACUGGAUUGCCUAAAUAUGAUGAAUAAAGGGUUGGAUUUGCAAAAUUAUUUACACAGUUUAAUUUGUUGAUUUGAUACAUCUCAAUCUGUGAAUUAAUAGAAAAGAAGAAGAAGAAGAAGCUAGUACUAAACCAAUAAGUUUACACAUAAUCCAUGAACGUAUCUCAUAGGUCACAACAUUUUCCUUCAUUAUUGGUCACUAAUAUGUUACUAUUGAAAAGAGUAACUUAACAAUGGUCUAUAGGGUCUUUUCUAGGUGUUUUAGGGUGGUUUGUAUGGGUUUUUGGUGGCCAUGAAUUAACUUAACAAGGUCUUUAGGGUCUUUUCUAGGUGUUUUGGGUAAAAAAUAGAUUGAAAAUUAGUUUUUAAAUAAAAAAAAAAACAAAAGACCAUAUUUUUUCAGUCACCAUAAUGGCUGAAUUCUAGGUUGUGUAGAGGAUGCGUCAUUUUUCCAGCCCCUUACGUACAAUUUUUUUUAAAAAUAAAGUCUUGCGCGCUAACCAUUGCUUUAUUGGGUAAGACGUUGGCCUUCGCUUGCUAGGCCUAACAAUACCUGGCCUGAUUUCUUUUUUAUUAUUUUUUUAAUUUUUAAUUUUUCUUUUUAAAUAAAUCAUUAUUUGUGUGUAUUUUAUAAAAUAAAUUUUGGGUUUAUAUUUUAAUUAUAUUGUGAUUAUUUUUAAAUGACAUUUGGUGUGUUUAAUUUUUAAAGAGAUAGAUAUGAUUCAUGUUAUUAUUUAAAUUAUCCGAGUGAAUUGAACUCAUUAGAGCCAAUUCCCUAUAUAUUAUAUAUUUUUUAAGUAUUUAUUUUUUUUCAAUAUUUUUAUGCUAAAACAAAUAAACCUUAGCGUUAUAGCGUAUCGCAGCUAGUAUUACCUGUAAACAUAUCAUCUUAUCCCAUCCCAUGUCAAAUACUCAUUAAAAUAAUUUGUUGUCAAUUAUUUUAUAUUUCAUUCUUCUGUCGCACGUGUGCGGCGGCGCGACGAUCGUCCACCCUCAAGGGAAAAAUCGGAAUAUUUAUUCCUGGAAAAAAGGGAGAGACAAGGAAUUCUUGUCUCUAUAUGUGAAAAUAUAGACUGGGAGUCGCCACCUAGUUUUCUGGUUACUAGGAACCUUAACUAGUCUUUAGAGAUCGGGUACGGAGACUGGUUGCGUAAAGGGAAGGUAUUAGCACCCCAACUACGCCCUACCUAAGGUAUGCUGCAUUGUUUUAAUGUCUGAUAAAAUUUAAAAUCGUGUUGUGGUUUUUGAAUUGUUGGUUCGUUUACGGUUUAAGAAAAGUCCUCCUCCGUAAGGAGAUCCUUAUCUUUAUCGGGUAAAAAAUUAACUAUUCGAAGUCGUCAAAAAAAAAUAUUUUUUUAAUAUCAGGAAUACGAUUUACGUAUAAAUUCAUAAUCCUUGAUACUAAAAUCAAACAAAAUAAAAUAUUUUGUUGUUUUUGAGAUUUUGGCCAAUGUUCUCUUGACUUUAAUAAACUGGUUAUUAAAGCCAAAAUGCAUGCUAAAAUAUUGUUUUUUGACAUAUGAAAAAUACGAUAUGAUUUUUUAGAUUUGAGAUACUUGGCCGUAUGCACAAAAACAUUUUUUAUUUUUUUAUUUUUGUAUUUUUUGGAAUUUUAAUAUCGGAUUUAUAUUUUUUACGAUGUAAAAAUACUGCCCGAUAUUAAUCAAAAUGACAUAAAAAAUUACGCGGAAAAAUUAUAAAAUGCUGAAAUAAUUAUUUUUGAAUUUUUUCUUUCUGAAUGUGAACAGUGCCUUUAUUGGGUAAGACAUUGGCCUUCACUUGCUAGGCCUAACAACACUUGGCCUGAUUUUUUUUUAAUUUUUAGUUUUUCUUUUUAAAUAAAUCAUUAUUUGUGUGUAUUUUAUCAAUUAAAUUUUGAGUUUAUGUUUUAAUUAUAUUGUAAUUAUUUUUAAAUGAUAUUUGAUGUAUUUAAUUUUUAAAAAGAUAGAUAUGAUUUAUAUUAUUAUUUAAAUUAACCGAGUCAAUUGAACUCAUUAGAGCCAAUUAUCUAUAUAUUAUAUUUUUUUGAAGUAUUUAUUUUUUUCAAUAUUUUUAUGCUAAAACAAAUAACCCUUAGCAUUGUAGCGAAUUGCAGCUAGUAUUACCUGUAAACGUAUCAUCUGAUCCCAUCCCAUGUCACAUACUCAUUUAUAGCUUGACACGUGUAUGAUAUACUCUAUGGUGCAACUUGUGGUACAACAACAAAGAUAUUUUAUACCGAUUGAGAGGUUAAGGAGCCGGUCAAUAUUUUAUAUUUCAGUGUUUUGUGGCAUUAAUAAUAAUGAUAGAAACAUUGGUCCACACUGUUAGUUUCUUUCAUGGCAAAGACUUUUCCCUCGGGUCGAUGAUGAAGAAUAUUUGUAGUGUUCUUGGUUAUUCCUUAUUGUCGAGAAGCUUGUGCCUUGUAGCAAUCUAUCACGGGGGUGCUUGUCAAGAAAGAUGUCCAUAUUAAAGGGUAGAAGUGGUAAAUAAAAGAGAUGACAGAAGGAGGAUGAGAGCACAUGAUCUCUCUAGGAAUUCUAUGUACAAUUAAUGCUCGAUAAUCAACUUCUUUUCGCGGUUAAAAGAUUAAAGAAUUAAUUUUUAUUAUUAAUAAUUUGUUACUCUUUCAAUAGAGAAUGGCUUUAGAUUAAAUUUUUAUUUAUUUAUACUUUAUUGAAAUUAUAUUAAAGAAAACAAAUUUCCAGCGCAAAGCAUAACAACACACCUUUUCAUUUAUUUUUUCUUAUUUUGUUUCUUUAAUUUAGUUUUAAUUAUAUCUUUUUUUUUAAAUCUGUUAGUUUAACUAUUUUUAAAUAGUAAUUAAUCUUUUGGAUGGGUUUUUAAAUUUCAUAAUAUCUCAAAGGGAUUAUUGUAAUUUAUUUUAAUUUUUUUAUUAAUUUUUUUUAUAGCUAGAUAAGUUAUAUUUGCAUUAUAUGUUUUUAAUGAUGAAAAUAAAAUGUACUUAAUAACCAUAAUAAACCUUCAAGAUACAUAAAAAAAAAAACUCAUCUGUAAAAAAUGAAAUGCCAAGUCUAUGUGUACUGUCAAGUCCAAAUCUAUUGAUGCCAGACCCAUAUAUUUAUAAUAAAUAAAUAAAUAAAAUAACACAUCAGUUAUAUUGAUUUCCUUCGCAAUUGAAGUAGGUUAGGCUGGACUGCCUAAAUAUGAUGAAUAAAGGGCUGGAUUUGCAAAAUUAUUUACACAUUUUAAUUUGUUUGUUGAUUUGAUACUUCUCAAUCUGUGAAUUUACACUGCAUUAGUAGUUAAGAACUUAGAAGGUGAACUGACAGAAAAGAAGAAGAAGAAGAAGAAGAAGCAUUAGUACAAUUUCCUAUAUUCGAUGGUCCUCGAACCUAAUAUGUUAUUACUGAAAAGAGUAAAUUUCUGAACCUAACUCACAACAAUUUCCUUCAUUAUUGCUCACUAAUAUGUUAUUACUGAAAAGAGUAAAUUUCUGAUCACUCUAUUUCUGAGAUGGCUGCCAACUCUUGGUGAAGACGUCUCGCUGGCAUCCGGCCUGCGCUGGUUCUCUUAGGGACAGAGGAGCUAAAAGGAUCAGGAGGCUUUGUUAAGUUUUCUCCUUCCCCUUCAAGCAUCUGGACAACAGUUUUCAUGGAAGGACGCUCUGCUGGGUUCCACUGAAUGCACCAUAGCCCCACAAUUGCUAGUUUCUUCGCAAUUCUAGCAUCUUCUUCUCCAUCGAUAUGAAACCGCAGGUCUUCUUCCUUUUCUAAGAGAUUAUAAAUCCAUUCCGGGAAGUAUAUCUGGUCGCCAUUUUCUGCUGUAUCAUCGACGUUCUUCCUUCCUCCAACCAUUUCCAACACUAACAUCCCAAAGCUGUAAACAUCUGAUUUAUAGGAAACAUUCCCGAAGUUCCUCGAGAACACUUCCGGGGCAAUGUAGCCAACAGUCCCCCUAGCAGUCGUCAUGGAAAUAGCACUUUUAUCCUUGGAACACAACUUAGCCAUCCCAAAAUCGGCGAUUUUGGGAUUGAAUUCGUUGUCAAGCAGGAUAUUCUGUGGUUUGAUAUCAAAAUGGAGGAUUCUUUGAUCGCACCCCUGGUGAAGAUAUUCAAUCCCCUUGGCUAUGCCUAGAGCAACACGAUUCAACCUUUCCCAGCCAAGGAAAUGGUUCCUUGAGUCUGCUGAGGUUAUGAACUGCUGUAAUGAACCAUUUGGCAAGUACUCAUAAACCAGAGCUCGUCUGAAUCCAUCAGCACAGAAACCGAUCAAGCGAACAACAUUGACAUGGUGGAUCCUUGCCAUUGUUCCCACUUCAUUGAUGAAUUCCUCCCCUUUUCCUAUGGAAUUAUUGAGGAGCUUCACAGCUACAGCAAUUUCAUUGGUCAGCUUUCCUUUGAACACGGUUCCAUAAGCUCCUUGGCCCAAUUCAUCACUGAAUUGAUUUGUGAUCCUCUUGAGAUCAGCGUAGGAGUACCUAGUGGGAUUCAGUGAUCUGUAAUCAUCCAAAAACAUUUCAACCCUGGCUUGAUGUUCUCUUUGUGUUUUAUCGUUGCUAUAGGCGCGGUACAGUGCAGUAAUCACUAUAGCAAAAAGGAAUAAUCCUAAAAUCACACCUGCAUAUCAACAUUCUGAGUCAGGAAACUCUUUUUUUCUGGGGGGGAAAGUAAUGUAUUGAACCAAGUGUAAAAUUGAGAUGGAGAUUUGAGCAGACUACUAACCAGCAAUCAGUAGCUUUCGCCGCACAUCUAGAUCUGCAAGGGAUUGAAUACUUAUUAGCUUCUCCCUUUUAGGCAAUUGGUAAAAUCAUGAAAGCAACAAAGACGAAAAGAGUUUCUCUAGUGUUUUGUUAUUUACAUAUUCAAAUGCCAAUUAUUGAUUUGAAAAAAAGGAAGAAAGAUACAAAAACAUACCUUUAGUGUGCGGAAGAAUGCUGUAGCAUUCAGUUUCAGAAGAUCCACAAGUAACUGGAUUGGACCAAGACAUAGUAAGAACAGAAUUUUCUUCCUGCAUCAUACUAUAUGGAAUUCCAUAAAUGUUGUACAUCUUGGUACAAGAUAAGAAAUCAGAGUAACUGAUGGAAAUACUUAAGUCAACGGCAUAAACUUCAUGCUUAAAAGUACUCAGACAUGGGAUUUUAUCCAUGUACGGAGGAGACCUUUUCUCACUAGAAAGUGAACAAUUGAACAAGGUCCAAUCAUACAGCCAAUCGUUUUUAAUUUGGAAGGGAGAAGCCCCUAAACUGAAGUUUAAACGUUGCCUUGGAAAGCAAUCUUGAGGAUACCUUGCAUAAAUACGUUGAUGUCUAUAGUCAAUUCUUUCGAUGUGGAGACUCAAUCCAGUUGGCAGCUUAAGCACUGUGCUGUUGUCCUCUGAGCAGGAUAGAUCAAACCCAGGACAACCACAGUGGUCUGGUUGUUUGUCCAUGUUUCGGAAAGGAAAUCGGAUGUCAGGGCCACGGUUUCCACAUGAUCCUGUGCUAUUCAAGCUUGCUCCAUGGCCUGCAAGGAAGAAAAAGAAAAAGAAAAAGAAGAACAAACACGUAACCAUUUCUGAUGAAUAAUUCAUCAUCUCCACACUCCUCCAGAUUUUAUCUGCAUGUGCUGAUAUAGUUUUGGCCUUUCAGAAAACUCAUGUAGUCCUUAGACGGCGAUUCCUUUACAGAAUUUAUUUACUCCAUCGAUCUAGUGUGAUGCUCGUCCCUUUGACAUUCCUCCACUCACAAACAUGUGGGAUCCAAUUAUUCCGUUUUAUUUAGGGGUGAGCAUAAUUUCAAACGGUUUGGUUUGGAUAAAAAAAUAUAUAUAACAGAAGUUUUUUUAAAAAAAAUAUUUAGUUCAAACGGUUUGGUUUGGAUAAAACAAUAUAUAACAGAACCAAUUUUUGUUAAUUGUUUUUUGAAUUGAAUCAAAUAAAAGAACCAAAUUAACUGGUAUUUGUUUUUUUUUUUUUUGAGUUAAUGGACCUUUAGUUGAGCAAUUUUGACAAGUUUUAGGGUAGUUGUUUACACAGCCUCAUUAUAUUUUAUAUAAAAUAUUUUUUUAAAAUUAAGUUUUUGUGUUUAUGGAUUGUUUUAAUGUGCUAAUAUUACGAAUAAAUUUUUUAAAAAAAUUAUUUUGAUACAUUUCUAAGUAAAAAACAGUUUGAAAAGAAAUCACUACCACAAUACCAAACACUAUCUAAUUUAAUGAGUUUUGAGCUUAUAACAUACCUUUAGUUUCUAAUAAGUUUUUUUUAUUUGGUUUGGAUUGAUUUUUCAAAAAGAUUUAAAAUUGAAACUCAACUGAAACGUUUUUAAUUUUUCUAACAAAAAAAAAAUUCAAAAUUCAAAAAACUGUUUGGUUAAUUUUGGGUCAAUUUCUAUGAUUAAUGUUCUCAUCCCUAAUAAUAACAAUCUCUCUAUUUACAUAGUAUUCACAUUGUAUAUGGCAAUAUGUUUAAUUUGGAAACCUAGAAUUAGCAAAAAAAAACUAGAUUCUAUCAUAUGAAUUAGAAUUACAUGAUCGCACUUAUGCCAAAAGAUUGUUCUUUUUUUGGUCAAAUUAGCAGAGUAAAUAUAAAAAUUUAAGGGAAUAACACCGUUUGAGAAAGAUUUAACAAAAUAAUUUACUUUCAACUUGUCACGCUUCAAAAGCUUGAUAUUUACUAAAUGUCGUUAUUCCAACACAUGGCAAGUAAUUGUUCUUCUUUAGAAUAGCGAUAUUUAGUAAAUGUUAUUAUUCUGAAGCAUGACAAUAAGAAACUCCAAUUUACUGACCGACUGGUUUGAUUAAGUUAUAUUAACCGGUCAAUUGUAUCACACAAAAACGAUAAUUUUAUAAUUUUGUUUAUGAGUUAAAAUAUACAUCCCUAUCCAAUUUGUAGACUAAAAAAAUCUCAAAACGUUAUUGUAAUUAGGCUUAUGAUAAUGAGUGAUUCUAGAUAGUCAGAUGUGAGUUUGCCAUAACUAAAUGAAGACCUACUCCGAACAAAUUAUAUGGAUGGUUGUAUUUAUCGACUAGUAAGACAUGUGUAGGCCCAAGAGGAGGUCUAGUCAUGCCAGACCAGGAUAGCAACUCAAAAGAACCAUAAAUUUUGAUUUGAUCGUUGGAUCAUGCUCAAAUUUUUAUAGGAUUUUUUAGAUGCCAUUUUACCUAGGGCAACCUUACUGGGCUACACUAACCAUCACAUCUUUGGACAUAAAAAAAUCUCAUCGAGGACCUUUGGUUUUGGCAAUUUUGUGAUUUUCCUUGUUACUUUCAGAACCGGUCAACUAGUUUCACUAACUAUUAUGAACUAGUCGAUCGAUUGAGCAUGACAAUUAUCUUGUCAUGCUUCAGAAGCACCACAUUUACUUCAGAAGCGUGACAUCUACUAAAUGUUGCUAUUCUGAAAUGUGACAACUAUUUUGUCGUGUUUUGAAAUAUCGACAUUUAGUAAAUGUUGUGUUUCUAAAGGGCGAUAAGGUGAAAGUGUGCUAUUCCACAAAAAAAAUUUGCUUUUGUGUCAUUUCAUCAUUUAUUUUAAUUUGUGUGUUAAUUUCCUAAUUUAUCCUACGCCAGAAAGGAAUUGGAGUUGUGAUGGAUGCAAAAUUCUCAACAAGAAAUAACUAAGAAGGUAUAAUUCAUCGUGAUUGACACGAGGGUGAUUGAGGGGAAAAGUCUUGGUACGUGAAUCAAGGUUGUCAAUUCCAUUUCGUUCACUCCCCCGUCAUUGAAAGGAGGGUGGUUGAGGGGAAAAAUCUUGCUAUGUGAAACUUCGAGUGACGGACCAAUGUUUCCAUCAAUGACUCAAGUGUCUGUGAAGGAAACGAAAAUAAUGGGGCUUUGACAAGUUCUUUAACCUCUCAAGCAGUAUUUAAGUCCUGUUUGUCUACAUGGCCAACUCGCUAUCAGUUGAGAAGGGAGGAAAGAAAAGUAAAGGGCUCUUUCCUGUUGUCUUGCUCGGGAUACCGUGAACGAAACGGUCCAUAUUUUUGUCAUUAGACUAGAGGAGGUUGUUGGGUUAUUUCCAGAACUCAAACACACACAAUUUACGUGGUUCGGCAACUUGCCUACUCCACGGAGCUACUGGGUUGUAUUAAUUACUCAAAGAAACAAUACAACAACAAAGGAGGAGGAGAUAAAACUCAACUCAACUCAACUCUACUCUCUCAAGCUCUCUGUUCUCUCUUCUCUCUGUGUUUCACUCUCUGCAACUCAUCAGUUCUUCACGCUACAAUGACACACAGGGGGCACAUACAUAAAUAUACAAAUAAUGGGAGUGGGGGUGUCCUCCACCAUGUGCAAAGUGGGGGAUUAGUUAUUCCACUUGCACAUGGUGGGGCAAUUGUUGUCUCCAUAAUGCUAACAAUCUCCCACUUGGAGACAAACAAUGAAAUCCUUUUUAUCCUUGAAGGCCGACUGAAGUUUUACACAACUUCAGUUUAUCAAGUGUAACUCCUUUGGUUAACAUGUCGGCUGGGUUCUUGCUUCCACAGACCUUUUCUAGCAUUAGUUGCUCGUCGUCCAGCAGUUGUCGGAUGAAGUGAUAUUUGAUCUGAAUAUGCUUCGUCCUGGAGUGAAAUGCUGGAUUCUUGGCAAGGAAGAUUGCACUCUGACUGUCGCUAUAUAAAGUACCUUUUCCAUUCAACUUGCCCAAUUCUUUCAAGAAACUCUGCAACCAUACUAUCUCUUUUGCAGAUUCUGAGACUGCAACAUAUUCAGCUUCUGUUGUUGAAAGAGCAACGAUCUUUUGCAAGGUAGAACUCCAGGAAACAGCAGUACCUCCUAGAGUAUAAACAUAUCAUGUAGUGCUCUUUCUGCUAUCAACAUCUCCUGCUAGAUCAGCAUCUACAAAACCUUCAAGUUUCAAACCACCAGUUGUGAAACUAAGACAAGUUUCUGAUGAACCUUUUAAGUACCUCAUGAUCCAUUUCACCGCCUCCCAAUGUUGCUUUCCAGGAUUGCUCAUAUAUCGGCUUACAACUCCCACUGCAUGGGCAAUGUCUGGUCUGGUACAGACCAUAGCAUACAUCAAAGAGCCGAUAGCUGAGGCGUAUGGAAUCUUAUCCAUGUAUCCACUUUCUAGCUCAGUUUUGGUGACUGAUCUUUGCUGAGCUUGAAAUGAUUCCCCAGUGGUGUACUUACUGGUUUAGCAUUAUCCAUACUAAACCUGCUGAGAACCUUCUUGACAUACUCUGUUUGUGAGAGCUUUAGUAUGCCUUUGUCUUUAUCUCUGAUGAUUCUCAUGCCAAGUAUUUGUUUAGCAGCUCCCAGAUCCUUCAUUUCAAACUGUUUCGACAACUGCUGUUUCAGCUUAUCAAUCUCCUCAAUGCUGGAUCCUGCAAUCAACAUAUCAUCUACAUAUAAUAGUAGAAUGAUGUAGGAGUUGUCAAAAUGUUUGACAUAGCAACAAUGAUCAGCUUGGCAUCUUGUAUACCCGGAACUGCACAUGAAGUUGUCAAACUUCUUGUACCACUGUCUUGGAGCUUGCUUCAAACCGUAUAGGCUUUUCUGUAGCUUGCAGACUUGAUUCUCCUUUCCUUGCAUUGCAAACCCCUCUGGCUGUUGCAUGUAAAUAUCUUCCUCCAAGUCACCAUGAAGGAAUGCUGUUUUUACAUCUAACUGUUCAAGAUGUAAAUUUUCUGCAGCUACUAUCCCCAGAACAACUCUGAUUGUUGUGAGCUUCACAACUGGAGAAAAAAUCUCAGAGUAGUCAAUGCCUUUCUUCUGUUGAAACCCUUUGACAACAAGUCUUGCCUUGAACCGUUUGCUUCCGUCAUGCUCAGUCUUCACUCUGUAACCCACUUAUUUUGCAAGGCCUUCUUUCCUUCAGGUAAUGUUGUUAGCUCCCAAGUCUUGUUCUUCACAACGAACUCAUCUCAUCCUUCAUGGCUAACUCCCACUUGCUUGAGUUUCCAUCUUGUAAGGAUUCUUCAUAAGAUAACGGUUCACCACCAUCUGUCAGCAAAAUAUAAUUCAGUAAAAGUGUGAACCGUUGCGGGGGCUUUAUCGUCCUCGAAGACCUGCGAACAGCUGGUUCAAGUUGCUCGCAUCUUCUUGUGUGUGUGGGCACAGAUGUGCUUGAAUCUUCUUGUAAAGACUCUUGAUUGUUGUUCUGCUUAGUAACAUCGGGAAGCCCUUCUAAUCUUAUGAAUUCAGAUCUUUGUGGACUUGUAUCUGAAUCAGCCAUCUCUGUUUCUCCACUUGAUCUGUCUUUGUACAUAACUUUCUCAUUGAAGAUCACGUUCCUGCUUCUGAUAAUCUUUCUAUUCUGAUCAUCCCAGAACCGAAAUCCAAAUUCUUCAUCUCCAUAGCCAAUGAAGAAACAUUUCUUGGAUUUGGCAUCUAACUUGUUGCGAGCAUCAGAAUCUAUGUGAACAUAGGAAACACACCCAAAGACCUUCAAAUGAGAGAGUGGUACCUCUUUUCCUCUCCAUACUUCCUCGGGCAGUCUGAAUUCCAAAGGAACUGAUGGUCCACGGUUGAUCAAGUAAACUGCGGUAUGAACUGCGUCAGCCCAGAAUGUUUGAGGUAACCCAGAAUGCAACCUCAUGCUUCUAGCUCGUUCAUUGAUGGUCCUGUUCAUCCGUUCAGCAACGCCAUUCUGUUGCGGUGUGCCUGGAACGGUCUUUUCCAUUCUGAUACCAUUGACAGCACAAUACUCCUUGAAACCUCCAUCAAUGUAUUCUCCUCCAUUAUCAGAUCUCAAGCAUUUCAACUUUAGACCUGAUUCAGUCUCAACCAUAGCCUUCCAUUUCUUGAAUGUUUCAAACACAUCAGAUUUAUUUUUCAGAAAGUAAACCCAUACCUUCCUGCUGAAAUCAUCAAUGAAAGUCACAUAAUACCGAGAACCUCCAAGAGAUGCUACUGGAGACGGUCCCCAUAAAUCUGUGUGUACCAGUUCUAGCUUGCUUGGUCUUAAGGUCCUGCCAACCUUCAAGAAACUGACCUUCUUCUGUUUUCCAAGAACACAGCUUUCACAAAUGUCUAGAUCGACAUUUUUUAACUCUGGCAGCUUUCCCUUCGACUGAAGUAUCUUCAUCCCCUUUUGACUCAUAUGGCCAAGUCUACAAUGCCAUAGAUGUGCUUGAUUUUCUGCUUCAGUUGAGGCAAUGAUGUCUGCAAAUCUUGUGGUCAUAUACAGGGUGCCGGUUUUCUUUCCACGAGCUAAAACCAUUGCUCCCUUUGAUACUUUCCACAUUCCUCCAGCAAAAAGUAUUGAAUGACCACUAUCAUCAAGUUGUCCGACAGAGAUCAACUUUUCUUUAAUUCAGGAACAUGCCUUACAUUCUGCAAGGUCCAUAUAGAUCCAUUCAUUGUCUUGAUUUGCACAUCUCCUAUACCCACAAUUCAGUGGUGUUCCAUCGGCCAGAUAGACUACACCAUGAUCUCCUCCAACAUAAUUUUGCAGCAUUUCAUUGUGUGGCGUACAGUGGAAUGAAGCACCAGAAUCAAGAAUCCACUCAUCAAUUUGACUUUGUACAGCAAGAAUUAAAGCAUCUUGUACCUCAUCUGUGGUAGCGUUUGCAGAGUCAGCUUCAGGUUUCUUCGGUUUUGUGCAAUUCCUACUGAAAUGACCAGGUUUGCCACAAUUCCAACAUUCAACCUGCUUUCUGGAUCCAAACUUGCUUUUACUUCUGUAUCUGGAUUUUGAUCUGCCUCUGGAUGAGCCUCUAUCGUGUCUCCUCCCUCGAGUGUUGAUGUUGAGAGCUGAUCCUGAGCUUGAACUUUCACCCGAGUCUUUCCUUCGCACUUCUUCAGCCAAAAUCAAGUCUCGAAUGUCAUCAUACUUCAGUUUGGAUUUUCCAGCUGAAUUGCUCACGGCUGUCCUCAUGCCUUCCCAACUGCUUGGAAGUGAAGCUAGCAAGAUGAGUGCACGAAUCUCAUCAUCAAACUCAAUCGCAACAGAUGAUAAUUGAUUUGUGAUGGUAUUAAAGUUGUUGAGGUGUUGUGUCACAGAAGUGUUUUCGACCAUCUUCAAGUUGAACAACUUUUUCAUCAGGUGCACUUUAUUAUUUGCUGAUGGCUUCUCAUACAUCCCAGACAAGGCUUCCAUCAAUUUUGCAGUGGAUUUUUCUUUCGUAACAUUGUGAGCAACUCUUCUUGAUAACGAUAGCCUGAUAAUGCCCAGAACUUGUCUAUCAAGAAGUUGCCAUUCUUCUGCUUCCAUCUUUUCUGGUUUGCUUCCCAAUAAGGGAAGAUGAAGGUUCUUCCCAUAUAAAUAAUCCUCAAUUUGCAUUUUCCAGUAUCCAAAAUCUGUUCCGUCAAAUUUUUCAAUUCCAGCAGCCUUUAUUUCAUCUGCCAUUUUUAUUAAUUCUCCGAUUCGAAUUUCCCAAAUCUGACCUUACAGAUGUGUCCGGAACGGCCAAAAACCUUGGAAAUGACACUGAGAUCACCCCAAUCGGACUUCGGAUGGCUCAGAUUUUAGCAAUCAAAGUUUUGGAUUAACGGACGGUUCAGAUGCAGCCGCGUGUCAGCCAGAGUACCGCCUGCGUCGCACCGGAUAAAAACUCAGUAGCGGUUCUGAUGAAGACACGUGUCAGCAGAUUACAGCCUGCGUCGCACCGGAUCAAAACUCAGUAACGGUGCAGAUUAAGCCACGUGUCAGCCGAUUAGUGCCGACACUGAUCAAACUCAAACGGUGCAGAUUCAGCCACGUGUCACGAUUAGAGCCUGAGUCGCACCGGAUCAAAACUCAGUAACGGUCAGAUUAGCCACGUGUCAGCGAUUAGCCUGCGUCGCACCGAUCAAAACUCAACGGUGAUGAUGUAGCCACGUGUCAGACGAUUACCGUCUGCGGUGCACUGGAUCAAAACCCAGAUGGAUGACGUGGCAGGUGACGUGGCGUUGACCGUGCGACUUGCUGACGUGGCGGGUCAGACCCGACCCGUUUUGCAGAAACGGGCGAAGAAGGAGCGUGCGCGCGAGGCGCGUUGUGCGCGUGGGCAGUCGUGCGGUGCGCGUGUGGGCGCGUGCGGGCAUGCAGGACGUCGGUUCUUUGCCGGGUUUUCACUAGUGGAUUCGUCCGGUUGUCCUCUACACGAUGGUAUGGUCAAAAACACGUUUUGAGAACAUUGAUUUUUGAGUUUGGAUCAAACACCCUCUUUGUCAAGAACAAGCUCUGAUACCAGUUGUUGGGUUAUUUCCAGAACUCAAACACACACAAUUUACGUGGUUCGGCAACUUGCCUACUCCACGGAGCUACUGGGUUGUAUUAAUUACUCAAAGAAACAAUACAACAACAAAGGAGGAGGAGAUAAAACUCAACUCAACUCAACUCUACUCUCUCAAGCUCUCUGUUCUUUUCUCUUCUCUCUGUGUUUCACUCUCUGCAACUCAUCAGUUCUUCACACUACAAUGACACACAGGGGGCACAUACAUAAAUAUACAAAUAAUGGGAGUGGGGGUGUCCUCCACCAUGUGCAAAGUGGGGGAUUAGUUAUUCCACUUGCACAUGGUGGGGCAAUUGUUGUCUCCAUAAUGCUAACAGAGGUUACACGAGAUUGUAGCUCUCCUACGCGAAACUUCACAUGAGGACCAAGAAUCUCUCUGUUGACAUAGCAUUCACAACUAAUAUGAAUAGGCAUAUGGUAACAUGUUGAUUUUGGAAAUCUAGAACUGGCAGAAAAACUAGAUUCUAUGAAAUGAAUUUUAAUUAAAUGGUCGCCCUCUUAAUGCUUAUGCCAGAAGGGACUAGGAGUCAUUAUGGAUGCGAAAUUCUCAACAUGUGUAUUUGAAUGCAUUAUAUUUAAAUUGUGUUAUUAAUUCUUUUCUUCAUAAAAAGCUACAUACCAUUAACAAGAGAAAAGGAAACAGAAAUCUAAAUUUGUUUGCUGGGUCUAUGCUCUAAUUAGGUUUAGUUAUGUGUGCUUCUAUUAAUUUCUCUAAAUUCUAUAUAUGUAUUGGCCAGGAAAAAAAAUAUCACACUGCAUAAAUUUAUUUUAGAGAAUAACAUAUAUAUAUUUGAAUUUGUUAGGACAACUUGACUAGUGCAACAAGACAAAAAAAGAAGAAGAAAAAAGAAAAAGAAAGAUAGUUGGUCGAGAUAAAAGGACAAGGAACUAAAAAACGCAACUUCGUUAUACCAAAAAAAAUGCUAGAAAAAUACUUUCUCAUCGUCAAUGUAAAAAAGGAGGAAUCCAAACGCAUAUACAAGUCCAAAUCGGCUAUUAUAAAAAAUUACAUUACUGAGUGUCUUUUUCUUCUUCUUCUUCUUCUUUUUUGCUUUUUAUUUUGUUUUUUUAAGUUCUUUUUUCUUUUUUCUUUGUUUUUUUUAAUCUAUUUCUUUUCUUUGUUUUUUUUUUAAUGAAUGUUUUUUUCAAUUUUUUUUUUGUUAAUGUUAAAUUCUUUUCUAUUUAGUUAUUAAAUUUUUAUAAUACAGAUUCCGGUUUUGAUGGGUUAACCCAUAUUUGUUUUUCUGGUUUUUUUUUUUAAUUAAUUUUUUCGAGUGCAGCCCACAGUGAAACGCUUAGCUAUCUUUUUUUUUUCUACUUUGUUUUUUUGAGCUGUUUUUUUCUUUUGCUUUUUUCUUUGUUUUUUUUUAAGUUGUUUUGUUUUCUUUGUUUUUUUUAAUGAAUUUUUUUUGUUUACUUUUUUUUUGUUAAUGUUUAAUUUUUUUUUAUUUAGUUAUCAAACUUUCAUUACAUGGGUUCCGGGUUUGACUAGUUAACCCAGAUUUUUUUUCUGAUUUUUUCUUUUUAAUUAAUUUUUUCGUUUAAUUUAGUUUGUUAAUUUUAAUUUUUUUUUAUUUAGUUAUCAAACUUUCAUGACACGGAUUCCGGGUUUGACGGGUUAACCCAUCUAAUUCUGGGUUAACCCGUAAUUUUUUUUUCCUAUUCAGUUAUCAAACUUUCAUGACACGAAUUCCAGAUUUGACGGGUUAACCUGGUUUGAAGGGUUAACCCAUAGUUUGUUUUUCCUAUUCAGUUAUCAAACUUUCAUGACACGAAUUCCAGAUUUGACGGGUUAACCUGGUUUGAAGGGUUAACCCAGUUAAUUCAUAUUUUUUUUCUUUUUCUUCAUUAGUUUUUUUCCUAUUUAAUUAAUGUUAAAAGAAUGAAGCAGCUGAAUAAAUUGAGUAAUUAUUACCAAUGAAAAUUAUUGAUAAUUUAUAUGAAAUUACCAGAAUUAUAUAAAAGACCGCUUCAACUUUUUUAACCUGGUUGCUCUGUCUCAACUAGUCGGGCGGUUCAAUUAAUUUCUAGAAAUCAGUUUACUUUCAGCAUUUUCACUAUCUUUCCCUUACAACCGAAGGAAGCAUAUCUUAGAAUAUCUCAUGGAUUUGGACUGGAUUGGGUGUUUUGGUUUUUGAUGAGAUGCUCCAAGAAAAAUAUCAGGCUCGCUGGAUGUCGUUGUUUGUGGUAUUGACAGUUGAUGACUUUUUUUUUUUUUUUACUUUUCAAAGUUAAUGAUUCUGACAUUUCGAAGGAGGUGGGAAAUUAUCUUCGUCUGUGAAGUAGUGUUGAAUGGUGGAUCAAUAACUCACUGUCUGCUUUGCUACUAUUCCUAUCCCAUGACUCUGACAUUUCAAAGGACGACCAGGUAGGGGUGUUCUCCUUCACCUUUUCAUUGCAUUACCGGUAGCUUCCACUCCGAAAUUCAAUAGUUUUUGUUGGAGAAAAAAGAAAAGGAAAAAAGAAGAACAGUUUGUGCAAAAAUUGCGUAUACACUGUGUAUCACUUCAGCCUUCCCCAUGUUUAGAGGAAUGAACGUCCUUUUGGCUUGCUACAUAGCUUUUCUUUUACAGCUAUUAGUCUUCCAAACUUGCCAUUCUAGCACCAUCACUACUCAUAGUGCUCCUUCUUCAUGCGGCAAUAUCCAAAACAUAAGAUACCCUUUCAGACUACACACUGAUCCACAAAGCUGCGGAAACAAUAAUUAUGCUCUGAUUUGCGAGAACAAUAUUUCUACAGUAUUAUGUUUGUAUUCAGGUAAAUACUACGUGCAGGCAAUCAACUACGGUAACUACACAAUCCGAGUGGUAGAUGCUGGUGUACAAGAUAAUUGCUGCUCCAUCCCUCGUUAUUCUUUGGCACCUGAUGACUUCAGUUACGGAGAUCCAUACACAUGGUAUAACUACCAGGUGCCGCCGCCGGGAGUGAGUGAACUUUUCGUGGACUAUUGGGGGUACUGGUACUUAACUCCACUAUCACAGCCUAUGAUUUUCAUGAGCUGUGAAAAUACGGUGAAUUCAACUCUCUAUGUGGACACUGUUGGAAUAUUGCCAAUUAUGUUUACAUUGUCAAAGAAGGAGGCUUGUUGGUGGCAACCACCAACCUUGACUUUGGUAGCCAUCUUUGUUGAAGAAGAGAUGAGUUUGGCAGCCACCAUUGAUGACAAAGUAGCAAGAGGAGCUGUCAUUGAAGCCUAUAAAUAGACACCAAGAGUGCAUCACAAAAUGAGAGAGAGAGUCUUGUAGGAGAGCUACAAAAGAGAGAAGAAGAGAGAAAGAAAGAGAAGGGCUGCCACCAGCAGCUGCUGCCCUAUGUAGCAAAGAGAGAUGGGAGUUGAGUGAUGAGAUCCUCCUUCAUGUAUUAUUGUAUUCUUUCUCUAUCUCUAAAUAAAAUGAACCUCUCCCGUGGAUGUAGGCAAUUUGCCGAACCACGUUAAAUAUUGUGUCUCAGUGUGCUUACCCCUCCUAUGAGCAAAGAUCAGUACAUCACCGGUCCCGGAUUCCGCACAACAAUUGGUAUCAGAGCCCCGUUCGUCGGAAAACAGAAGAGUUUUGGGGUAUAUCCGAAUUUUCAAAGUUGUCCAAAACAAGUUUUGAUCAUUCCAAAGUGUAGAGCUCAUCAAGACGAACUCACUGCCGCAAAAAUCAGCCAAAUCGGAGUUCGGGGUAGCCCACACGCGCCGCCUGAAUAUUCAGCCAGAUCGCCGGUCCCGGAUUCCGCACAUCAGACACGGCUCCCUACGGCCUUAACUACGGAUCAAUAAAUUAUUCCAACUCUUCUCUUGUGACUCGUUCGAAUUAUGUGACUCUUGGGGGCAUGAAGGCCUCGGAUUUGAUGGAACUGUGCACCAUAGAGAAAAUAUUUUUUCUUCCAAAGAAGAACUACACAGACAAUUACUCCUUUGAAGAAAUACACAGUGACCUGGCAUAUGGGUUUGAGCUUUCAUGGUACAACAUCUACUGUGAAAAUUGCACAAGGGGUUGCUACAUCAACAGCUCAGACCAUCGUCAAUAUUGCAUUCCCGCAGAACGUAUGUAACACUUGAUGAUUAAGUUGCAUCACUUUGAUUCAUAAGACCAUAUAUAACUUGUGAUUUGAGGUGGUUUCAUAUAUUUUCUCUGGCUUACUUUUCAAUUUUCAUUUUUUUCUGCGCAUUAGCACAAUAUUGCACUGUCCCCAGAAGUUCAUGUACAAAUUCUGUGCAUCCAUUACCUGUGGAUUCUACUAUAGUGGACUGAUCAUAAGAUUCAUUCAUGUUCAUAUUGUAAAAUAUUCUGACUAUAAUGUGGUUUAAGGUAGUUGGACAGAUUCAUUGGUCUUUUGCAAUUUCAGGAUUGACACAGUGAAACGUUUGGUUCAUCUUAACUUGAACAUGGAUACACAUUAAUUAGUUCAAGUCACAUUAUUAAAUUGUGUGCGCUCUUUUCUAUUUUCUUUUGCAUUUACUAUUGCGUAUACCAUUAGAACUCGUUUCUUAACCUAAAGCUUCAACAGAUAAUUUUGACACAGUGAAACGUUUGGUUCAUCUUAACUUGACCAUGGAUACACAUUAAUUAGUUCAAGUCACAUUAUUAAUUAAAUUGUGUGUGCUCUUAUCUAUUUUCUUUCGCAUUUACUGUUGCGUAUACCAUUAGAACUCUUUUUAAACCUAAAUUCUCGACAGAUUUUGGUGAAAGCUUCUGGGAAACACUACUCUACGCAGUGAUAGGUGCGAAUUCUCCUUCUGCAUCUCACCUUGUUUGUGUAUUCUUAAGUGUUUCUUCAAACGACUUAUUUGUGAAAUAAGGAUUGUUGUUUCUUGAAUAGUAAUUGUAAUUUUGUUCACCAUUUUCUGCAGGUUAUAUCCAUUUUAUUUGGUAAGAGAUUCCAUCAUUUCUUUAGUUUCGCAACAAAUUUCUAGUGGAGACAACAAAUAAGAUCACAAAACUUGAUUGUUUUCUGGAAAUUUCCUACACAGCACUGCUUCAUGGGCUAAAAGUUGUUUGUGGGACUCCAUGUGUGAUUAUAUUUUUGAUCUACAAAUGGCGAAGGAGACAUUUAUCAGUAUACGAUACAGUUGAACAAUUCCUACAGGGUCAGAAUAACCUUAUGCCAGUAAGGUAUUCCUACUCAGAUAUCAAGAAGAUUACUAGAGGUUUCAAGGAGAAAUUAGGUGAAGGAGGCUUUGGUACAGUUUACAAAGGAAAGCUUCGCAGUGGGCGUUUUGCAGCAGUAAAAUUGUUGGGAAAAUCAAAAGCUAAUGGACAGGAUUUCAUAAAUGAAGUUGCUACCAUAGGAAGGAUUCACCAUACUAACGUGGUGCAGCUAAUCGGUUUUUGCGCUGAAGGAUCAAAGCGAGCUCUUGUAUAUGAUUUCAUGCCUAAUGGAUCUCUUGAUAGACACUUGUUUUCUCGAGAAGGAUCAAUCUCUUUAAGCUGGCAAAAACUGCAUCAGAUUUCCCUUGGAGUGGCUCGUGGUAUCGACUAUCUUCAUUUAGGUUGUGACAUGCAAAUACUUCAUUUUGAUAUCAAGCCUCACAACAUUCUUCUCGACGAAAAUUUCACUCCAAAAGUUUCUGACUUCGGGCUCGCUAGGUUGUACCCCACUAAUGGCAGCAUAACAUCUCUUACUGCAGCAAGGGGCACCAUAGGAUACAUGGCUCCUGAACUGUUCUACAAAAACAUUGGACGUGUCUCCUAUAAAGCUGAUGUUUAUAGCUUUGGAAUGCUGCUAUUGGAAAUGGCAGGCAAAAGGAAGAAUGUAAACGCAUUGGCAGAAAAUUCAAGUCAAAUCUACUGGCCAUAUUGGGUUCAUGACCAAGUAUCUGAUGGAAAGGCCAUAGAAAUCGGAGACGAUGCCACGGAGGAAGAACGUAAGAUCGUCAAGAAGAUGAUUAUGGUUGGAUUGUGGUGUAUACAAAUGAAACCCAUGGAGCGGCCUACAAUGAAGAAUGUUGUGGAGAUGCUUGAAGGAGAUUUGGAAAACUUGCAAUUGCCUCCUAAGCCUGUCUUCAAUCUAGAUGUGACGCCACCAAACAUUGAAGGAGAGUCAUCAUCGUUGUCAGGGAUUCUACCGAAUCAACCAGUUUGGUUGAAAAUGCAUACUAAGUGAUAUGAUGUGGAAUGCUCUGCUUACAUGCAGGGAAAAUGAUAGAAUAAUGGUGCUUUCGGACUUGGUUGUGAUGAUUUAGUCUGCAAACAUUAUGAUAAUUUGCAAUACUUCCUUUUAUCUGAUUUGUGUUUAGCUAAUUUAGAGUUCAAGCUGCGGCUUGUUUCUUCGGUUUGGUCUAUAUAAUCAUCAUACAAAGAUAUUCUGUAUUGGCAAUCAUAGCAGUUGGCGAGGAUGGAACAUCCUCCAUGAUAACUGUUCCAUGUUCUACAUAUUAAUUAUCCUAUUUGUCUCCAGCAGAGUAAUAUUUUGGCUACAAAUUAACAAGAGACUAUCACAGGGAUUAUAUAAACAAGUUGAUGCAUGAAAAGACGAGUCUCUAUUUAUAGGCAGCCACUAAAAGUAGCUUCGGAGACCACAAAUACAAGUCAAGUCUCUCUAGUAAUCCUUCCACUACAAGUAGCUUAAUUUCAUUUUCUUCCACCAACAAUGCCUUCGUGUCAAUGUUCAGCCCCAUGAUAAUCGAUCUGGCGUCACCAUUUGCACAUUACCAUAUCUUGCAUAAGCCACGAGGAACCAAUCACAACAAAACAUUGAAAACCAUGACCAUAACGUGUGCUGUGAAAUGAAUAUUGAAACAGAUGGGUGAAUUUGAUGCAGAAAUCUUCUCUUUCUCCAAAAAAAAGAAAAAACGAAAGGUAGAGAGGAGACAAUGAAGCUCGCUUACCGGUCUUGGCAUUUCACCGGAGAGCUCUGCUUCUAACUGUGAAAUGCGUCUUCUUGUGGGCAAGAGGCAAGGUCUUCAAAAAUGCUCAACUGUGUUCAACAAACUUUCAGGAUCUACUUCAAUUUUCUCAAGAGAAUGGGAAAUAGUGACAAUCAAUUUACACCCAUUUGUUCUACGAGAUAUUCCCACUUUCUCAGGAUGAAAAUCAUCCCACAAAUCAUCAAGAAUGAUGACAUGGUUUUGUAUCACACUCAAUGCUGUCCAUAGCUCCAGCUCUACUCGUCACAUCUUUUCUUUUCGGAAGACAUAAACCAAAAGCUUCGGCAAUGAGAUCCUGCAAUGCGUGAAUGCUCAAUUCUUGUGAAAGAAAAUGUCUGGUUUAUCUUGAAGCUGAUUAUGGAUAUGUGCAGCCAAAGUUGUCUUUCCCACUCCUCCCAUCCCGUAAAUGCCAAUGCAUGAGACCUCACCACUCAACAACCAAGACCAGACAUCCUUCAUAUUUCUUUCAAUAGCUUGACCCACUAGCUUCGUUGUCGGGACUACAUAUCUUUUAGUCCUACGUCGCUUAUGUACAGGCCUUUUAGAAUAGCUUACCGUGUAAAUUCUCAAGUCAUGUUCUCUAUAUAAAUUCUUAACAAAACAUCCCUCGUUGAUGAGGAUGAGAUGUUAUUCGAGAUCAUUUCAAAUGCCUGACAUGUUUUCUCUGUUCUCUGUCUAGGCUCGGGUUCAUCUGGCAUAAGUACAACAUGAGCUCUAGGUUCCUCAACAAUCCCAGUCUCCCCCCUGAUCCAGAUAUCCAUCCAUCCUAGGCUCUCAUCAAAAAGAGGAGGUUCUUCUUGAUCCAUUUCUAAACACCGCGCAGGAGUUGAAGCUGCAUUAAUUGCCUCGUUAUUGCUUGAACUUGGCACGCUCUUAUCUACAGGCCUGUUAGAAGAGCUUCCUCUCUCAGCAACAGACUGCAUCAAUUCCCAAGUCAUGUUCUCUAUACCACUGCUCGACUCAACAAUAUCCUUCAUCAAGGAAGAUGAGAUGUUAUUCAUAUCCAUUUCAAAUGCUUGACCUGCUGGCUCUGUUCCCAAUCCAGUCUCAGGUGCAUCAGGCAUAAGUAUUUUAAAAUUAAAAUAUCAAAAGAUUUAAUUGUUGAAUUGAAUUCAAUGUUUUUUUAAGUGAUUAAAAAGACAAUUUUCCUCCAAGAAGCGAUUGUGUCCCUUUUUGCACCGUUUGAUCUUUCAAAAUCAGGUUUAAAGCCUUCGUGCUCUUAUUUAUUUAGAUCAAUUCUGUUAUUUUCUCUAGAAUGUUUUAUUUUUUAAAAAAAAAAAAAAUUGGACUUUGAGUUGUCUCCUACUAGAGGUAGAUUAAAAAGGCAAUUCUCCUAGGCGCUUAGACUUCUGGCAUAAGAACGACAGGAGCUCUAGGUUCCUCGACAAGCUCAGUCUCCCCCCCAAUCAGAAAACCCUCCCGUCCUCGUUCAUCCGAAAGAGGUUGUUCUUCUUGUUCCAUUUCUAAGCCCCGCAAAGCAGUUGAAGCUGCAUUAAUUCCCUCGUUAUUGCUUGAACUUGGCACACUCUUAUCUAAAAGCAUUUUAGAACAGCUUCCUCUCUCAGUAACAGCCUACAUCAAUUCUAUACCACUGCUUAGCUCAACAUCCCUCGUCAAUGAAGAUGUGAUGUUAUUCAUAUCCGUUUCAAAUGCAUGAACUGCUGGCUGUGGCUCUAUUCCCAAUCCCGUCUCAGGUGCAUCAGGCAUAAGCAUGCUAGGAACCAUGGUCUCCUCAGUAAGCACAAUCUCUCCCCCAGUCAUCCCAUCCAUCCAUGAAAAAUCAUCCAAAAGAUGUUGUCCUUGUUGCAUUUCUAAAUCUUGCGCAGGAUCUGAAUCUGCAGCAACUAUUAUAUUAUUGCUUGAACUUGGCAUACUCGCACGCAUUCUGUCAGGAAGCUUAUCAAACGCUGCUCGCUGAACAUCUGGAGUUACUUUUUCACAAAUUUUAACACCACCCCGUUCAACUCUUGCCAGAUGAUAUUUCAUCCUUGUAGUGGAAGUUCUUCCAGCUAAUGUCUUCCCACAAAAAAUGCACUUCAAUAAACCACCAUCCACUUUCUCAAAAUAACACUGAAAUGGAUCACUUCCUCCAACCAUUUUUUCUUCUGUGUCCCUACCUACAGACAUAACAAAGAACUUUCAGAAAAUUGAAUUAAAAUGGAACUUAAACUAAUUGAAAAAAAGAAGAAGCUAAGUUUAAGAUUAAAAAAAAUUGAUUACAGGUGUUUCACUGUCUAAACCAAAGUCAAGUUAAAUCACUCCAAAGAUCAAAGUGUUCUUCUCUUUUUACUUUCCCAAUAAUUCUACAACUGGUCAUAUCAGUAAUUUAAUAACCAGCAUGUUUCUUUUUUCUUAGAAGAAUCAAACUACAUGAGUUGGAAAAGAAAUGGUGUGAAAUUAGAGCUAAUUAAAAUUAAUCAAACUUAAUUACCUGAGCAGCAGAUGCAGCAAGAUGUUAUCCAAUUAUUUGAUUAAAUCAGAAGAAAGAAGAUGACAGUAAGUGUGUUGGAGACGCGUGAUAGAGCUUCGGCUUGUGUGGUUGUGGAUAAGGAUAGAUUCAGACAGUCAGAGAAGCAGAUGACAGUGAAAAAAAGUAAAAUGGAUUUCUGUCGUUCAUCCGGCGAGGGGUGCUCUAGUGAAGGUGUGGGGGUAGGCGGUGGCUGAUGAUAGUCUCCUCGUGUGGUGGACAGCACGCCAACUUUGCAAACGAUGAGAAAGAGCACGAUCCACCACAAAACAGCAGAAGAGAAAGCAGUAGGCCGAGGGAAGAAAAGGGAGCAGAGUUGACCGAGAGAGAAGUAGAGCUGACCUAGAGAGCGGUAUCUUCACAAAUGGAGAGGUUUGUGUUUUCUGUAGGUGGUUUGUGAAACAUUAUUUGUAAUUUUUUUUAUGAUUUAAAAAUAUUUUAAAAUAUUUUAAAAAAAAAAUUUUACUUCAAAAUAAUAUAUAUUUUAAUGUUUUUAGAUUAUUUUAAUAUACUAAUAUCAAAAAUAAUUUUUUAAAAACUAAAAAAAAAUAUAUUAUUUUACUAUAUUUCUAAAUAAAAAUAUUUUAAAAAAUAAUUAUAAUCAAAUUUUCAAAUAAACUCAUGUAGUUGCUUUCAUUACAAAGACAUUUCACCGUGCGCACUCAAGUUAAUGAUGAAGAAUUGUAGGGCUCUUGGUUAUUACGUGUCAAUGAGUUGUUGGUGUCCCCAACAUUCGAGGUGCCAUCAAAUUUUUUUUCUUUUUCCUUUUUAAAGAUGUGAGCACGAUAACGUGAUUAUUGAAUUGUCGUUGAUUGUUUCCUUAUUAUUUUUGAUAUUUUAUUUUUAAUUUUGUAAUUUUUUAUUUUAUUCUUAUAUUUUAUAUCAAGAUUUUAUUUAUUUUCAGUUUUAUUUUUUAAUUAUAAUUUUUUAUAUUUUUUUAUUUCAGUUUUUAUUCUAUUAAUUUUUAAUUUUUUUAUUUGAUACUUUUAUUUAAAAUUUUAAUCGCUUUCAAUAAAGUUGUCGGUGGUGAGACAUACUCCGACGCAACCUGUGGUUGAAGGACAAAAAUAUAUGGUCUUUCUUUUCUGUUAUUUUCCGUGGUCCGCUACCUUUAAUUUCUUUCAUAGCUGAUCUUUCCCCCCAAAGCUCACUCAGGUCCAUAAGUUUGGCUUUUCCCUUUUCGUAAAAAUACGUAUUUCAUCUUAGAAAAAGAUAAAAAAUAAAGCAUGCAUUCGGGGUAAUUUUUUCCUUUUACGCUGAUCUUUUGUAAUUAUUAUGGUGAUGAGGGAUAUUUAUGUAUUUUAAUUAUAAUUUGUUAUAUGUUUUUUUUUUCAAUCCUUGUUUUUUUAAUUUUUAAUUUUUUUAUUAAAAUGUUUUUUGAUUUCAAUAAAAAAUUUAAGAGGUAAGACACAACUCCGCAGCAACCUGUGCUUCAACGACAAAAAAUACGAGUUUUUUUUUUUUUUCUUUGUCAUUGGUUCUCGAGCCACAAAACAAAGAAUCUUUGUCCUUGUUGAAGCAUUGGUCCGCCACUCUUAAAUUUUUUCACAGCAAGACUUUUCCCGCAUGCACCCUCAGGUCAAAGAUGAAGAAUAUUUGUAGGGUUCUUGGUUAUUCAUUCUUGUACCAAUAAAUCACGGUAUUACAAGGAUGAAAGAAGAAGGAUUAAUGCCAACCUAUUCAUCUCGUUGUUGAUCAACAAGGAAGGAACUUGAUAGAAAUAGACCCUUGAGAUUACUAUCCUAUCCAUCAAAAUCCUUCUAUCCGCCCUGCGAUUCCUUUAAAAUUAUGAGUUACAUUUAUUUUCUUCGCAAUUGAAGUAAGUUAGACUGGAUUGCCUAAAUAUGAUGAAUAAAGGGUUGGAUUUGCACAAUUAUUUACACAGUUUAAUUUGUUGAUUUGAUACAUCUCAAACAUACUAGACCACUAAGUUUACACAUAAUCCAUGAACGUAUCUCACAGGCCACAACAAUUUCCUUCAUUAUUGCUCACUAAUAUUUAUUACUGAAAAUAGUAACUUAACAGUGGUCUCUAGGGUCUUUUCUAGAUGUUUUGGGGCAGUUUAUUGGGGUUUUUGGUGGUCAUAAAUUAAAUUAAGUGAUGCCUAAUCCUUUUUUCUUUUUUUUUUUGUUAAUAGUCGAAAUUUUAUUAAAAAGAAAAAGCUAUAAAGAUAGUAGCCUAACUUACAUCAGAAGAUCAAGUAGAGGAAAGGGAAGCACAAAAACUAUUGCAUGAAACAGGGGAUAGCAACAAAAAAAGAACAAACAAAUCAAAAGAAACUAAUUCCUCCCGACUAAACAUUUGAUCUCCCACCAACAAUCUUUUAGCAAUAUUUUGUUGAAAAAGUGUACCUCUAAUCUUACAGUUUUUUUUUAGUUUUAUUAUCUUCAUUUGUAUUCUAUCAUUUGAGUUUUCAGACUUGUAGGUAAACAUAAAUGUAUCUAGCAACAAUUUCUCGAAGUUUUUUUUAUUGAAUCUAUGAAGAGAAUUUCAAGAAGUUAAUGACGAAUUUAUAUAAAUUCUUGUAUUAAAACAAUCAAAUUAUAUUAAUUUUCAUUGACUUGGUCUUGAUGAUGACUUACCAAAAUAAUUUUCAAUUGUCGAUGCUCCAUAGAGUGUUUAAGGCACGAGCCACUCUCUCCCACGGAAACAAUGAUUUUUAGUCCAAGUUAUCAUGUGCGUGCUUGAAAGUUUUUUUGUCCCGUAAUUGCAGCAUUUUACACCUAGAACGAUCGAUAGCAAAAACAAGCUGUAAUUUUUCUUGCAAAGAUCUGUAAGGUAAUUAUAAGAUCUGGGCUUGGAUUUAGAACUAGAAAAAUCUUCUAAAUGAAUAAUAGAAAAGAAAAGAGAAGAGAAGAGAAGAAAGAAAGCUAAGCUUUACAACUGGAAAAAAACAUUAUCACCCUCCCGAUGACUCCUUACAUAAAUAGCAUGACGUCAUACCUUUACUAUAAGGUAAACGUUCCAAUACCAAAAUACAAAACAAUCCCUAGAAAUCAUAAAAUCGUAAUUUCAUCCCCGGAAUAAUAGCAUAUGGCUAGAAAUCAUGGAACAUUCUCAACUGUGUUCAACAAACUUUCAGGAUCUACUUCAAUUUUCUUAAGAGAACGGGAAAUAGUGAUCGGGAUCCUCGUUAGCUGCGGGCAAUCACCCACAGUAAUUUCUUCGAGAGAAUCGCAAAGAAGUCUUCCAGAAUAAAUGCUUUUCAAAUUUGGUAAUUUCUUCAAUACCAAAACCCUCAAUGUAUCAAAUCUACGAAAAGGAGAGGAAUGCUCAUCACUUCCCAUUAUCUCCUGCAUGUUGUAACAAUCUUCGACUACAAUCACUUCCAAUCGGCGCAACAACCAUGAUUUUGAACGUUCAUUUUGUAUCAACCAAGGAGGGAGCAGCACCUUCAUCCCAUGACAUUUAUGUAUCACUAUCUCUCUGAGAUUGAAAAAGACUAGCUCCGAAGGUGCUUCAAAAAGGGUUUCUAAGAUUAUCAAAUCAUCAAGGUGUAGAAUCUCAAGCUCUUCAAGCCAUCCAAUUGCAUCUGAUGGACCUAAGCUUCUCAUGUUUUGACAACUCACAAAAACUACUUUUGUAAUGAAGUGCGGGAACAGAAAAGUUGCAUGAUUUAGAUCUUCGAGGUGAUAAAAGCAAGCCUCUUUAAUUAACCCUGACUUCGAUCUUGUAUAAUUUAGAUCUUCGAGUGAAGAGAAACAAGGUCGUCCUACAGUAACCUUGCAUGCAACUUAGUGAAAAUCUCCGUCCACACAAAAUAUCGAAAUCAUCUAGAUCACGGAAGUUGCAUUCCAAAGUUUCCAAAUCAUAUAAUGUGGAAACUUCAUCUCCUCUAACUGAGAGAACAACUUCAGAUUUCUGAUGAAGCUUGAGGAACUGUAAUUUUGAGAGUUGGGGUAAAAUACCCGACCGUAAAACACGCACCCCACUUCCAUCAAGAUUAAGAUACCUGAGAUCCUUCAGCCUUUCCAUUCCCUCGGGCAAAUCUUCAAGUCCAGUGUAACUGAGAUCCAACUUCUCCAAUGCCUUAAGCUUUGCUAAUGAUGGUACAUAACUCAGCUUUGCACACCAUCCCAGCAACAAUGCAGUGAGUCUCGUUAGAUGAGAAAUAGAAUCCGGCAACUUCUCUAUAUCUGUGUCGGAAAGAUCAAGAACCUUGAGUCCGAUGAGGUGCUGGAAAAAAGAAUCCUCGACCAAAUCCAAUUUGUAGUUUCUGCAUAACAAUAAUGUUGAGAGACGGGGGCACAUUGGUGAAAAGCCUGUUGGAAUAUUCUCGAUUCUAUUUUCCAUGAGUGAAACUCUUAACAGAUCCUCUCUCCACAAUCUUACACCGGGUAAUUCUGUUAGUUGUGCACCUGCUUGAACCAUAGCUCCCCCACUUUCGUUCAAUAUUUUCCAAGCCAUAUCCCAAAUCAAAUCAUGCAUCUUGACAUAUCUGUAAUCUUCAUCGUCCCUGGAACCUUCUAAUAAGCUGGCAUCUUCAAGUUGAUCAAGCAUGGUAUGGCCCCUAUCAAAUCGUGCAUGCCUUCGCCCCAUUUCUUUGACUAUACCCUCGUCAAUCAAAUACUCUAUCAAGUCCUCUCUCAAGAUGAUCUUGCCUUUUGGAAAUAGUGUGAUAUGUAAGAAGCACUCUUGCAGUGCUGAAGGGUUCAACUGGGCAUAGCUAAAUUCCAACACUCGAAAUACAUUGGCUUCCAUCUCACCUGGUCCAUCUUCUAAUCUUCUCAUUUUAGCAAGGCAUCCUCCAACGAUAUUCACCAUCACUCCCUUCAUGCUUCGAGCCAUUGUCAUGAUUCCAAGGGCAAACCAGCACACUCCUUCACAAUAGACUCUGCGAUCUCAGGAUAAAGGUGCACCACCACGCCCUAAUCUGUAUUUGAACAGAUCCCAAGCCUCACCCUUAGAAAGAGGCUCCACUUUGAUUAUCCUUUGGCAAUCCAUUUUUCGACAUAUCUCCAGUGAUCUCGUUGUGAGAAUCAACUUCCACCCGUCUGUUCUAAGAGGUAUUCCCACUUCAUCAGGAAGAAAAUGACCCCACAAAUUAUCAAGAAUUAAAAAACCUUUUUUUUUCACAUUCAACUCUGUCAACAGCUCCCCAGUUCUCACCAUCGCAUCAUUUUCAUCCAAAGGUUUUAAAUCCAAAACCUCAGCAAUGCGACCCUGCAAUGCAUAAAUGCUAAAAUCUUGUGACAUUGUAAUCCAACGAACAGGAUGAAACAUGCCUCGUUUCUCGUGAAGCUGAUUAUAGAUAUGUGUAGCCAAAGCUGUCUUUCCCACCCCCCCCAUCCCACAAAUGCCAAUGCAUGAGACCUCAUCAUUCAACAACCAGGAGCAGACAUCAUUCAUGUUUCUUUCCAUAGCUUGGCCCACUAGCUUUGUUGUCGGCAAUACAUAACUUCCAGUCCUACGUUUCUUAUGUUCAGGCCUUUUAGAAGAGGGCCGUCUCUCAACAACAGAUUGCAUCAAUUCCGGACUCAUGGUCAGUCUACCAGUUCUUAACUCAAACUCCCUCAUUGAUGAGGAUGAGAUGCUAUUCAAGUUCAUUUCAAAUGACUGAUGUGCUUGCUCUGUUCUUUGUCUAGUCUCGGGUUCAUCUGGCAUAAGAACGACAGGAGCUCUAGGUUCCUCGACAAGCUCAGUCUCCCCCCCAAUCAGAAAACGCUUCCGUCCUCGUUCAUCCGAAAGAGGUUGUUCUUCUUGCUCCAUUUCUAAGCCCCGCAAAGCAGUUGAAGCUGCAUUAAUUCCCUCGUUAUUGCUUGAACUUGGCACACUCUUAUCUACAGGCAUUUUAGAACAGCUUCCUCUCUCAGUAACAGCCUGCAUCAACUCCCGACUCUCUAUACCACUGCUUAGCACAACAUCCCUCGUCAAUGAAGAUGUGAUGUUAUUCAUAUCCGUUUCAAAUGCUUGAACUGCUGGCUCUAUUCCCAAUCCAGUCACAGAUGCAUCGGGCAUAAGCAUGCUAGGAACCAUGGUCUCCUCAGCAAGCCAAAUCUCUUCGCCAGUCAAGCUAUCCAUCCAUGAAAAAUCAUCCAAAAGAGAUUGUCCUUGUUCUUGCAUUUCUAAAUCUUGCGCAGGAUCUGAAUCUGCAGUAACUAUUAUAUUAUUGCUUGAACUUGGCACACUCUUAUCUACAGGCAUUUUAGAACAGCUUCCUCUCUCGGUAACAGCCUGCCUCAAUUCCCAAGUCAUGUUCUCUGUACCACUGCUUAACUCAACAUUUCUCAUCAAUGAAUAUGGGAUGUUAUUCAUAUCCUUUUCAAAUGGUUGAUCUGCUGGCUCUAUUCCCAAUCCAGUCUCGGGUGCAUCAGGCAUAAGCAUGCUAGGAACCAUGGUCUCCUCAGCAAGCCAAAUCUCUUCUCCAGUCAAGCUAUCCAUCGAUGGAAAUUCAUCCAAAAGAGGGUGUCCCUGUUGUUGCAUUUCUAAAUCUUGCGCAGGAUCUGAAUCUGCAGUAACUAUUAUAUUAUUGCUUGAACUUGGCACACUCUUAUCUACAGGCAUUUUAGAACAGCUUCCUCUCUCGGUAACAGCCUGCCUCAAUUCCCAAGUCAUGUUCUCUGUACCACUGCUUAACUCAACAUUUCUCAUCAAUGAAUAUGGGAUGUUAUUCAUAUCCUUUUCAAAUGGUUGAUCUGCUGGCUCUUUUCCCAAUCCAGUCUCGGGUGCA